rnacentral:lncRNA from 1 species
UUUGUUUUAUUUUGUAGGCAUCUUUUAGUAUUCUUCUAAGGCCUAAGGGGGACCUGACUACUGUUGAUGUGAAACGGGAUAGAGGUCAUACGAGUUCCUAAUAGUGAUUGUAACCAUUUUUCUACUUUUUCAUGGCAGUUGAUUUUCAUGAAUGGCACAAUCCUCAGAAUGCGAUAAAUUAAUCUCAAUUUACUAUUUUGUAGUACCAUAAAUGGGACUACAAGUUGAACCCUCUUUUGAGCUAAAGAAUGAAAAGGAGGGCAUCUUAGUUCCCAAAAUUCAAAUUUCCAUUCUCAACUUUGUCAACUGGUCUAAACUUUACUUGGCAGUUGAUUUUCUAGUGUGGUACAUGAUGAUCAAUUCUCUGUUUCGUACUUAUGUAGCUUGAUAAAUCCCAAGAUCGAUUUCUUCUGAGUAAUGAGAAUUUUUAAGAUCGAAGUGAAGGAGCUAAUUAGUAGUCUGCCCAUUGCAUGUUAUCUUAAAAGACGCAUGUGCAUGGAAGUUAUUUGAUAAUUGAGAAUGUGCGUUGCUAGGUGUUAUGCUCGUCUUCAUCCAAGAGCCGUGAACUGCCGCAAGAAGAAGUGUGGUCACAGCAAUCAGGUUUUUAUUCUUGCAGAUUCUAUUAUCUUUUUGUUGCAGAUUGAAUUAAGUUAAUAUAAAUGCCCUUCCCUUGUUGCAGUUGAGGCCGAAGAAGAAGAUCAAGUAGAUACUGACUGGUGUUAUCCUGUCUGCUUUAAAAGAAAUUGAAUGUCAGACGAGGAAAAUAUUUCCAUUUGGUUCUUUUGCUAUUAUUCUAUUUUGUUAAGAUUUUGUUUUGGGUUCCGGAUUUGAUGUUCCAAUCUAUGUUUGGACAAUCUUAUGUGUUUUGUCUUGGAAAUUUUAAGAACACUGUUUUAGAAAUAUUAUUUAAAAAUGUUAGUGUUAAAAUCAAAUUUUUAUAUAUAAAUUCUAAUUUCAUACCAACAAUGGUAAAAUUCAUUAAGAUGAGAAUAUUACCAGAAAAUUUGUAAAUUAAGAACAAAAAGGUACAUAACUUAUCAAAUUAGCAGAUGUAAUAAAUCAAAGAAAAAAUAAAAAAGUUAAACAUUAUUAUGAUAAUUAAGCUGAAUAAUAAAAAAUAGAAAUCAUAAUCAGUGUAUAGAUUUUGGCUUUCCUCGUUCCUUCAACUCAAACUCCCAAAUCCUCCCUUAUUCCAUUUCUUUGCAAAAAUAACGUCCACCGUGCUACCCAAACCCUUGUUUUUUUUACUACUUAUCUAAUUUCUAGUAAUGUUUGCAGUUUUUUUUUUAUAUUUUUAUUAAGUUUAAUUGAUCAAUUUAUUCUUUUUUAAAUUUUUUUAAGUGAAAGGUUCAUACGAAAAAAUGUACAAAAAUAAUUGUUGAAGUGUAAAUUUUUUAGAAUCAAAAUUAAAUUAAUAAAAUAUUUAAAUGUUGAGUGUUAAAAUUAUUAUCAUGUUGAUUUAAAAAACUACAACCUUUAACCUGUUGGUGAUUAAAAAAGAUAAUUGAAUAAUUAGGUAAUAUUUUGUAAAAAAAUUUAUUAAUAAUUGUGUGGGUUCAUAGUUUACCCUUUUUCUUAAUUGCUUGUGACUUAACAAUCAAUUUAUAAUCCUAGUAAGCUUUUGUUUAUGGAUGAUUUAUUUUAAAGAUAUAUAGCUAUAAUGUAAAAUGACAAAUCGAUUUAAAAUUCACGUGAGCUUUACAAUUAAAUCAGUGAGGUGAUUGAUAUUUUAAUUUCACUUUACUUCAAUGGUAGUAAUAUGUUCUGUAAAUGAAAAAUUAAAAGCAAAUUUUUUUUUUAAAAAAAAAGCGAGAAAAUUACAAGUUUGAAUGUUGAUGAUUAAAUUACCAGUAAUCAAGUUUAACCACUCCUCCCUUAUAUGUUGAGAAAAACAUUACAUUUUAUUAGAUUAUAAUAAUUGACUCGCAAAAAUAUAACUACUUGACCUUGAAAUGACAUAGAAAAACGAAACACUAGGCAUUUAGGCCAUAUUCAAUGACUCGGAAACUUUAUUUCAUGGCGCAAAGUUGGUGGGCUAGUUUUUGUCAUCAAAUGGUCCGGUUUCACGAUUGCCUUCGGCUCCAUGGCUGCUGCUUUCACCACCAAAAAACCUUAAAGGGUUCCCUCCAAAAUCACUUGCAGGAGAACUGCUUUCCAGUGGUCCCAACGGGAAAUGUCCCGGCCCCAUAUCAUUGUCGAAAGGCCCAAGACUGUCGCCUUUAAGCAGAUCGUCGCUAAGAGGCUCAAAUGGGGGUAGUUCCGGGUUAGCAGUACCAACACUUGAGGAGCUACCAUAACCAAAUGGAGGCAUUGGCGGCCUCGGUUCUAUAGCAGCACUUGUGUUGCCGCCGUAAGAGAAUCCUGUCAGCCCCGGCUCAGGUGCAAUACUUGAGUUGCCACCAUGUGAGGGCCUUGGCUGAUGGAGACUUGAGCUACCAGCGCCGCCAAGUGAUGAUCCUGGCAACGUCAAGUGAUCCCCGGUAACAGCAGCAAAGGGAUCAUGAUAUGUUAAGCCCAUCUCCCUCCGUAUGCUACUGCUAGCUUCACCUCUAAUAUAAUUGGUGUUAGUAUUGGCGUUUAACGGAUCCUCCCAGGGAAAGUCCUCAAAGGUGUCUUUGUCUCCAACACCUGCAUCAGCAAUGCCAAUAUUUUGACCGACUGCAGGUGCACUGCCUUGGGGUGGUGGUGGUGGUAAAGGAACAUCUCCUUGAGUGGGACCAACAGAUGAAGGAGGAAAUUUUUCAUAAAAUUCCUUAAGUUUCCCCAUGUCUGUCCUCAUUGUUUCCAUAUACCACUUCAUGUCAUCCAGUUCAUUAACGCUAAAGUCAUCUAGCUUCUUGCCUUGUUCGAUUUGAAGCAUGAGCUGACCCACCUCCAUUUCCUUGGUUUUCCUGGUUUCCCUCCUGAGUUGGUCUUGCGACUUGGAAAUCAUCCCUUUGUAGUAGGUCUCCAAGUUCAUCGAUUUCUUCAUGCGUUCUACCUCGGGAAUUUCGUUGAACUUCCGUAGCAGUUGUUCCAUCUCUUCACGCGACGGCCACACUAUUGGCUCCUCCUCGUUUUUAGUGUAUAUUACAAUGCCACCUUCUACACCACAUAGAGUGGUCAGCUCCGUCACUUUCUUCACCAGCCCUUGCCUCCUUUUCCUCAGGCUUGCUCUUCGGGCACUGCUAUUUUCUAUCCAAGCAAGCUUAACUCUCUUUCCUGUCAUUGCUAUCGCUAGUUUUGCAAGCUUAACAGUUUCUGAUUGCUUGUCAACUAGUGCUCUCUCUCUUGCUCUCAAACUGUUUCUAACAGAGGGUGAAGGAAAGAAUUGGGUUGCUUGAAACGAGUGGCGAAUAAGGCCUUUAUAUAGUGAGUGAGUACAAGGCAAAAUGGGGAGUUUCAAGGCUAAAUCAUUUGGAGACUCGAACAACACAAAGGCAUAUGCAUAAUAGGUAACGAAAUCCAAUUGUCAAGAUUCUAAAUAUAAAUGGCGGUUGCUAAAUCUUUGUUAAUCAUGGCAAUAUAAAUCACCAUCUGGAUUUCCCCUCAACAUUAACUUUAAAACAAUUAUUUAUCUAUGGGUAAGAAGCAAUAUUAUGUUUAAGAAUCAAAUUUAUUUGUUUAAUUCUCAUAAUAAACUUUAAAAAAUAAAUUCAUAGAUAUGUCGAGUUUUAAAGAUAAAAUUAUAUUAUCAUAUUUGAAAAGUAAAUUGAUCGAUUGGUCGAUUUUUAAAAGACAAAAUGAUAUUAUCAUAUUUGUAAUAAGUAAAUUGAUCGGUCGGUCUUUUAAAGAUAAAACUAUGUUAUCAUAAAUGAAUGAGAGAUUGAUCGUUAUUUAAUUGCGGUAUUCUUUGCUUAUUGAAUUCAUAGCAAAAAAUAUCAAUAGUUGAAUCAAACAUGUAUUAUAUUCACUAUGAAAAUCACACAUUUAUUAUAUCCGCUGUAUCAAACGGGCAUUAGUGUUUACAUAAUUAAGAGUUUGUUUUUAAAAUAAGCUCGUAUUUAUUAUGAAUAACAUUGUUGUGUGCUUCAUUUUACAAUUAUGAAAUUUAUAGUGUACGAAUAAAAAAAUUCUAAUUUGAAUUUAGAUUUAUAUUAAUAAAAAGCAUACGUAUUUAAUAUAUAAUUUUCCAUGUAACUCUUAAAAUAUAUUCCACAAAUCAUAACUUACAGAAAUUAAUCCAUGUUCUAUAAUUUGAGAUGAAUUUUAGUGUAAAUAUUGAAAACUUUUCAUAGCAUACUAAUUUAAAUAUUCAUGUAAUUUAAUAGUCAAAUUUAGGCUGUAGAUGUUAUAUAUAUAUAUAUAUAUAAAAGACCGUUAGCAAGUUAUUGACUGUGGCAUAGAUUUUUAUUUAUGACUUAAAUACCUUAACUUUUUUCACAAACAAAAUUUGGAUGAAAUUUUUAUGCAACACAUUGAUAUAUAUGAUAAUUUAUGUACGAAUUUUAGAUGAAUAAAUAAAUUUAUAAGAAUUUCGAACCAAAAUUUUAACAAAUAGAGAUACAAAGAAUAAAAAUUUAUUUACAAGUGUGAAAAUGUCUUAAAUUUUAAUAAAAUUCAAAGUCAAAUGUAAUAACUAAUACAUAUAUGGAUACAAAUAUAUCUAUAAUUUUUACAUCUUAAAUAUAUAUCCAACAUUACAUCUAAUUUAGAUUUCAAAAUAAGGAAUUAUAUUUAAUUUGGAAGGAAAGUUGGGUUUCCAUAUAUAGAAUUUUUAUUUUUGCUAUUCCCAUAUAUAGAAUUGAGGGCUAACAGAAAUAAGGUGGAAGUAUUAUGCUAUAUUGGUCCGUCACAUCCCAAAAAUCGAGUUAGUAGAAAUUGGAUUAAUGAACUAAGAAUGAUCACCUCAUGCUUUUAAAAUAAAAGUUGUAGGAAUUAUGUUAAAGUGAAUUACUCUAUUGUAGUGGUUAAGCAUUGAAUAUUCGUUUUAGAGGUCUUGUGUUGAAAUCCUUUCCUUUGAAAUUUUUGUUAUUUUUAUUCCAAUCUUUGACUUAGAACAUCUUAUUUAUCUUUAAUUUAUGGGGUUUAUUUUUUGAUAAAAAUGAGUCUGUUGAUUUAGUGGUAAGAUUUUAGCUUACUUAGAGGUCUAGUGUUUGAAUCUUGUGCAUGCAAAGUGAAACUAUUUUUGCUUUUGUUUUGUGCCGUUGACCAUGUGGUCAGAAUUUGAGUUAAAUUUAAAUUCUAAAAAAUCUGAUGGGUCGGGAUUUAGCGAGAUCGAGAUAUGGGUAGUUUUUUUUAAAAAAAUCUUUUUGAAAUUAUCCCCAAAAUCUCUCUCCCCCCCACUCAUUUUCAUUUCUGUUUUUAGGUUAGACAUUUCUUUUUCUUUAUUCUCAAAAUUUUCUUCUCUUUUCUUCACUCUCCUACCUUUUGUUUUAUCUUUAUGUCAUCGUUGUUUUGGUGAUUACGCCUCUCAGAUUUUGUAUUCGAUCUUGUGCUGUUGUCAAUCCACUGAUUUUGGUUUGGGUUUUGGUUGUUUGGAAGUUUCUCUAUUGCAAUAUCAAAAUUCUGGUGUAAGUAAAACUUAUUCGUGUGGUUAGGAUGGUUGAAUGUGAAUUAUCGUUUAUCGUUUAGCCAUGACUUUGAGAAGUGGAAAAAUUUUGUAACCAUUUCCUUAAAUUGGUGGAUCUUUAAGCUUUGGGAAUUAAUUUACAAUUGGUGAAAUUUUCAUUUUUCUUUUUUUUUGGUUAUUGGGAGUUUAAUUUCACAAGUAUUGUGAAAAUGUGGUGGCUUAUGAGCUGCUAGGGUGUUUUGGUCAAUUUAGCCCGGACAGGUAACCUGACACGAAUAUACUUAGCUCAAACGAGCAACUGGUGUGAUGUAGAUACUUGUGUAUUCAAGUCCAUUUACUAGGUUUCAUAGGGCAAAACUAAUUAUAUGAGACGAGAAACAAAAUCAAGAUAAGCAGAACUUGAUGUUCAAAUGGAAAAAAGUGAUGAAUUAAAUAUGAGCAAUGUAUUUGAAUGAAACGUGUGUGAUGGAAUUAUCCCUUGAAUGAGUAUGAAUUUGAAUUUGUUAUGAACUAGCAUAUUGAUCAUUUAUAGCAUCCUAUGGUUUGAUUGCGGUAUAAUACUCACCUUUUUAAUAUAGUGAAUUGUCAUGUUUUGCUAAACUAUGCCAACAUUGGUAGCCUAAUGUAUUCAAUUGAAAGCUAAGUUAAUUUUUUUGUUUAAUGCCUAUGAACUUACUAAGCAUCCUAUAUGCUUACCUAGUUUGUUUUUCCUUUUCCUUGUAGAUCAUUACCUUGCAGAACAUGUUAAGCCAGACUAACUCAAGCUCACGCUAUCCUAUCAUUGAAUCAGUAGAUGUUUAAUCAUUUUGAACUUAGGGUUAUGACAUGUAUAUAGGUAUCUUGGUACAUACUUUAAUGUUUUAAAGUUUUGAUGAGUUGAACAUGGAAAUGAAUUUAACUUGUGAAGAUUUUGUAUGUGUUUCAUGGCAAUGUUUGAUGUUUUGAGGAGGUGAUAUAUGUAUCUACUUGAAAUUGAUAUGUUUGGUUGUCAUGCUUGAGCUAAGUAUUAGUAUAGAACUAAUAUGGUUCAUAUCAAUGUUAUGAGGGUUAUGAUGAAUGAAUUGAACUAAUAUGUAAUUGAAAUGGAAUGACAUAUUUCAAUAUGGUAUGGCAUAUUUGAAGGUUGGUAUUUGAAUGUUUGAACAAAUUGAUAUGUCUUGAUUUGUUUUAAAUUAAGUAGAUGUAGUAAUUGAAUGAUAAGACAUUUUAAUCCAUGUGUAUUGUAUGAUUUGGCUAGAAAAAUGGUUAAAAUGUGUAUAUUAGUUAAUGUAACACCCCUAUUGACCUUAUCACCGAAUUCAGGUAUGGGCGUCACAACUGAAUCGGUCAUUGUAUAUACUUAGAACUUAGUAAAUUUUAAAAUUAGAUUGUAUUACCUAUUUAUUUAAGAACCUUCACAACAGAGAUAAUAAAUUUUAAAUAAAAAAUCACUGUUCAACUCCGGACUCUAAGGGAACUUUUUGGUUACAACAUAUUCGCCCCCUUGGUGAAGUCUCUAAAGGUAUCCCCCUCACUAUGUGCAUGACACCUUCUCAACGGAACUCCUUGAUCCCACACAGUCUGACUUGGUCCUUCCUCGAUUUCUUUAUCCUGCGAAUGCUGCAAUCAUAGUUCAAAACACUUGUAAGUUUGAAUGGACUUAGUGAGUUUCUACAUUAUACGAAAACAUACCCCAGCUUGUAGGGGUUUAAACAAAUAAUUCUAAAAUACAAAAAGAAUCUUGCUCGUUUCGAGAAAUUUCUCUCAAUCUGACCUGGCGAUUUCUGACUUAUCUCCGAACUUAUCCGUUGAUGGAUAGGUCGUUAAGCAAUCAUUCCCUGAACCAUACUAAUUCAAUGGUUCUUUGAACGAUUCCUCAUAUAUGCAAACUCUACCUUUCCUUUACUUAUAUCCUUUCUUUUAACCCUACCCUAGGGUGGAUUCUUCUUCCUACCAUUUAACUAUAAAAAGGAUCAUCCUGGUUAUGUUUGCCUCGACAAAUAUUUCGCAUAUAAUUAGCUCUUGGUGAACUUUUUAUUAUUAUUGUAGUCCUAAAAAUCUCACUAACAUAUUAGCCUCUAGGUUAACUAAUGAGAACCUGCACCACUCUAGUGGACUAAGUCCCAAUUGGGUUAAAUAGUUAUGAGAUUACCUCUUUGUAACUCGUCUUACUCACUUUGCCUUACUAUUAUACGUAACACGCCCAUGUGCUAUAGGCCGCUUUGGCCUACUGUACUCAAUUGACUGUCAUCUGAGUGACCAUCUAUGUAACAGCCCGGUUUAGACCCCAGUUGGAACAGUGGUUUCGGGACCAUAAUAUAAAGUUAAAAUAUUUAUUUUAAUAUUUUAUUAUGGUUUACAGUAUGAUAGAAUUAUUGUGUGAAAAUUUCAUUAAGAAAUUUUACCGUUUAGAGGCUUAAUUCGGUAAAAUGACUAAAUCGCGUAAAGUGUAAAAUUUAUGUUCAUUAGCUAAAGGUAUUAAAUAGCUAUAGAACCUUAAAUUUAAAGUCCUUAUGUGGUAAAUAUACCAUUUCUAUGUUAGUGGAUGUUAAUGGUUUGGCAUAAAUGAAAUUUUGAAUUAUUUUUAAGGUUAAAUUGGUAAAUGGUUAAUAAAUGUCAUAAUAAUUAUAAUAAAGCCAAAAUAUCAUCUUCAUUAAUACAUCCACCACCGAAAAUGCUUGAAAAAACAGCCAUGGAUGACGCUACAUUCGGCCAAGCUUUGAAGAUUAAUUGGUGAGUGGUUUUUACUCGAUUUUCAAUAAUUUUUACGUUUUUGAGAUGUUGCUUCAAAUACUAGUAGACCAUGCCUUAAUUUUCGGAUUUAAUGAAGAAUUUGAGAUUUUCCAUUGAUAUAGCUUAAUGUUUUUGUGGUUUGAUGAUGAAAUAUAAUUUUUUGUUGAUAGACUAUUAUAUUUAAUUAAGUGAUUUUUGAUAAAAAUAUGUGUUAAGAACUAAUUGAGAAAUUUGUAAAUUGAGAGGUCAAAAUGUGAAGUAAAUGAAAUUAAUGGGCUGCUAGGGAUUUAAGGUAAAUUCGGCCGAACAUGGGUUUGAUGAGAUUUUGUGUAUUUUGUGUUAUUUUGAAUUAGGGACUAAAUUGUAAAAAUGUGAAAUGUUUGGGGCUAAAAUUCAAAAUACCCAAAUUAUGUGUUCUUAGAUGAAAUUGAAUAAAAUUUUGAAUAAUUAAGUUAAUUUUGAUAUUUAUUAGAUUGGAAAAAAAUGGAAUUCGGAUCUAGAUCGAGGAAAAAUCAAAGUAUCGGAUUAGUUGAAUUAAUUUGUCGUUACUGCGAACGAGGUAAGUUCGUAGUCCCCAAACUCGAACUUUAUAAAUUGUUUUAAUUAAUCUAGUUGCUACUUGAUGCCUUAAUAUAUAUAUAUAUCCCUAAUGUAAUUGUUAAUUAAAUGAAUGGAAGUUUAUGUAGGUAUAAGUUAAUUUAAUUGAAUGGAGGUUCAAGGAAUGUGACAUUAUGGAAUAACUUAAUGUAUGAUUAGUAGAUAAUUGGAGUGAAAGUGUUAUUAAAUUAUGAAAUUUGAUAUUGAAUUGUUUGAGAAGAAGAAUAUAUGAAUACGAGAAAGUUUAGAUAACAUGAAGACGUCAGAAAAGUUCCGUACGAACCCUAGGAAUGGUAUAGGAUACAUAUGUCAUGACAUAGGAUUCUGAGAUAUGAUUUCAUGUAAGACCACGUCUGGGAUGUUGGCAUCGACUUGUGUUUACGUGUAAGACCACGUCUGGGACGUUGGCAUCAACUUGUGUUUACGUGUAAGACCACGUCUGGGACGUUGGCAUCGACUUGUGUUUACGUGUAAGACCACGUCUGGAACGUUGUCAUCGACUUGUGUUUACGUGUAAAACCAUGUCUGGGACAUUGGCAUCGUAUUUGAUUCGUGUAAGACCCUGUCUGGGACAGUGGAAUUGAUAUAAGAUUACAUGUAAGACCACGUUUGGGACGUUGGCAUUGUACGAUAUUUCUGUCUAUCUGUGUAUCGUUAUUAAUUCCAAACGGUUUAACGGGCAUUCCGAAAAAUAAGUGAAUAAAUGAAUGACAUUCUGAUUCAGGUACGUUGAAAUAGAUACAAUAUUUGGUAUUGAAAGGUAAGUAUAUAUGUGCAAAGAAUGUUAUGUAAUGUGUAUGCAAAUGGAUUGUGAAUAUGUACAUAUGGAGCAUGAACAAAUGAAUAAGAUAUGAUUUUAAAAAGUGACAUGUGAAUUGUCAGAUAUUAUAUGAAUGAAAGAUGAAUUUGGAUAUAAGUGAUGAUAUGUGAAUCAUAUGAAAAAGAUAUGUGAUUAAAUAUAUUAUUUCUCAUAAUGUGCUUAAUUGGUUACAUGAAAAUGAGACUUGAAUGUUAUAUAAGAAUCGAAAUGAAUAAACUUGUAAAAGUUAAAGUCAGUGAGUAAGUAAGUAUAUUAUUAAAUGGUGAUGAUUUGGUAUGAUAUCAUGAUAUAAACUUGAGAUAAUUUGUGUUUUGACGUUUGAGAUAGCAUUGUAUGCUGAUGGCAUUGUAAUAAAUUUAUAUGUUAUAUUAAGUUUAUUAAGAUUUGAGCUUACUAAGCUUUCAAAGCUUACUCUGUGUGUUUUUCCUAUGUUAUAGAGUUUCAGAGACUUGCUCGGGUUUGAAGUCGUGGGAGAUCUCAUCACACUAUCUAGUAUUUGUUUCGGUAAAUAAAUACUUUAAGAUUUGGUUAUGUGGCGUGUAUAGGCUAGUUUUGAUAUAUUUGGUUUUGAAAUUUGUAUAAGUAUAUAGCCAUGCAAAAAUGGCUUGUUCAAGAUGCAAAUGUUAGUAACUAUAUUUGGUCAUGUUAUAAACUCAAUUGAGAUGUAUGAUUUAUGGUAAAUAUCUUGUGAUGUUGGUUAUAUGAUUUAGUAAUGAGGAGUGGUAAGUAGGGUAUAUAUAUUUGGCUUAUUAAUUAACUCAUUUUGGUAGCAUGAAAGUGGUAAUAAUAUGGUUUGGUAAAAGGGUCAUUUGAAUAGCUAUAAAUGACAUAUUGUUUUGAUGUUAAGAUAUGAGAUUAUAUGUUUAGCUUAUAGAUUGAGUGAUGGAAAUGUUAUGAUUUAUUGAGUUAAAUUUGAUAACCAAAAGGUUGUUUAUUUAAGUUGUUGGACAUUUGAGAUAUGAAUACCUAUGCCUAUUUAAUGUUUGCUUGUAGUUCGUUUUAAAAAGGUCAAAUCGUUGAUUCAAUGAAUGGUUAUAAAAUGUGUUAUAUAUAAGUAGUUAUAUGUUUGGCUAUGGUAAUUGACUAUUUAGGCUCGGUUUUGAAUGACGAAGAAUGUAUAUGAUCUAAUUGAUAUGGAAGUUAAAUUGGAGGAUUGAUUAUUGAAAAUAUUAAUUGGUUGUGUAUAUGAAAUAUAGGCAUGAUAAUUCGCAUGCGAAUUAGGCAUGUGGUUCAUGUGUGUGAUUGAAUAUAACAUGUUAGAUAUGUUAUUUAGCUUGCAAAUUAGAUAUUUUAUGACUUGGCAUUUGACUUCGAAAAUAGUUAAGUUUGAUUUAGUAAAAUGUACAUAAGGUUAUAAUGUUUAAAAUACUAUGAUUUGGUAAUUGAAUUUUUAUAAUUAUGAAUCAUGUACAAAUCGGUUUUGAUAUUUGAUUGCUUGGAUUGAAAGUUUUGAAUUAGCAAACGUAAUUGAAAUGGUUAGAUAUUGAAUUAUAAUUCGUAUAAGAGAAUGUUCGAUAAAGUAUGAUUCGUGUGGUUAGAUAUAUGAUUCAAAUAGAUGCUUUUGACUUGUAUGAAUAAGAGGUUGGUUUAUUAAUUUAUUUCAGAAAAUUUUAUAAAGGAGAAUACAUCACUAGGCGUUUGAAUUGUAAAGAAUGUCCAAUCUAAACUGUGUAUUGUUUGGUAACACCUCGUAACCUUAGUCUAGCGACGGACACAGGUUAGGGGUGUUACAAUCUAAGUUUCCAAUUUUCUCUUAUACGCUAGUUUCCCAUGGAACUAGCCAUUUGGCUAAUACUUGCUCAAUAGUUUCCCUUAAAGAGGACUAGUCUUGACAGACAUAUCUGUGACUUGGUACCCCUUAUUAGUACCUUUCUCCCACAUACCAACUUUUCUGGCAACCUUAAUGGUGGAUUCUUACUUGCGAUCCUUGAAUACAUCUUUCUUGCUUGUCUUUACCCUAGUAUGUGUCUUGUUGGGUUACAGCCCAUAUGCCCUUCCGGCUUUUUUUAUCAUUGCAUUGGUGGAUUCCUUUUCUACUUCAUUUUUCCUUAUUCAACGGAUUCCCCAAUUAUAUCCUGGCUUACUAUCGUUUCCCAUUACUUACAUUUUUCUUUCACCUAUUUUCCAUGUUUGUAAGAUUUCCCCCGAUUAUUGUCCUGAUUAUCCACCUGUAUUUAUUUUCCUAGAGGACUCUCUUAUGUUGCCAUAGUCGUGUUAUGGUCUUACUUAAUAUAAUCCCACAUUUAACGUCCUGGCGGACUACCCUGAGUUUAGUGUCCUGACGAAUUUCACCUGUUGCCAUAGCUGAGAUAUAGUCUUACUCGUUAGGUUCCAUAUUUAAAGUCCUAGUGAACUACCCCGUGUUUACUGUCUCGACAGACUCUAUUGGUCGUCAUAGUCAGCUAUGGUCUUACACCUCGUAAUCCUCGUGUUUACUGUCCUGACGAACUCUAUUGGUUGCCAUAGUUGAGCUAUGGUUAUACACCUUGUAAUCCCCAAAUGACCUUAUUGCCGUCGCGGCGUCGCUCCUUAGAGCUUACUGAUUGUCGUUGUGGUGUUGCUCUACGAAACUUAAUAGUUGUCAAUAUCGUCUUAUCUCAUAUCAACCUUGAUGCUCGAACACCAAAGUGUCCCCCAGAGCUUCGUCCAUUACGAUUUGCUCCUAGCAAUCCCAGAUGGUGGAAUCGUAAUGGAAUUUCAAUUUCUUUUUUCCAUAUUCCUUUGCCCAUUCCUCCACUUAUCAUUCUAAUAUUGAUGCUCGAACACUGUAGUAUCCCCUCUACAAGGCUUGGAGCUUCGUUUAUCAUGAUUUGCACUCAGCAAUACUGUAUUGCGGUAUUUAACAGAACCACCCUUUUUCCCAUCCUAACUUCAUCUAGCUUGUCGAUGAUUCCCUUCCAUAUUUUAGAGACAUUACAUGAAAAUUCAUAAACUACGAUACACCUUGUAAUCCCCAAAUGACCUUAUCGUCGUUGCGGCGUCGCUCCUUAGAGCUUACUGAUUGUCGUUGUGGUGUUGCUCUACGAAACUUAAUAACUGUCAAUAUCAUCUUAUCUCAUAUCAACCUUGAUGCUCGAACACCAAAGUGUCCCCCAGAGUUUCGCCCAUUACGGUUUGCUCCUAGCAAUCCCGGAUGGUGGAAUCGUAAUAGAAUUUCAAUUUAUUUUUUCCAUAUUCCUCCGUCUAUUCCUUCACUUAGCAUCCUAAUAUUGAUGCUCGAACACUGUAGUGUCCCCUCUGCAAGGCUUGGAGCUUCGUUUAUCACGGUUUGCACUCAGCAAUACCGUAUUGCUGUAUUUAAUAGAACCACCCUUUUUCCCAUCCUAACUUCAUCUAGCUUGUCGAUGAUUCCCUUCCAUAUUUCAUAGACAUUACAUACAAAUUCAUAAACUACGAUACAAUGGCAGAUACUCAUAACUUACUCAUUCUUAAACAACCAAGCAUUUUCAGGCAACAGAGAUCAUGGAUUGUCAUGGAAUUCAUUUUAGAAUUGACACAUACUCAUGUGUUUAGCAAAGCAUCCAAAGAAUGAAUAUAGAAACUCACUUGAUGCUUUUUUGCCUUAUCAACGUAACUUUUUCAAAUGCUAGAGCUUCCAUUCUCCUAGUAGUUAAGCAUGACAACCAAAUCAUGGGUUGAACUUAGUAUUUUUAACUUAAACCUAAGUUUUCCAAAAACAUGCAAAAUUCCUAAAAUGGUUAUGAAAACCUUUAACUUUGUUUUCUAAAUCUCAUGUGUACAAAAGGACUAAGAACCUUGCUAGCUUCAGAGAUUCUCUACUUUUUUGACUCAAACCCCAUGAUUUUUGCUCUAUGCAAAGCUUCUCAUAACUAUCUAUUCUUGGAAGCAAUCAAAGAAGAAUAUGGAGAAAAAAAGUGAAAUAGAAAAUGAGAAGAAUUCUCUCAUCGGGAAGUCAUGUCCCCGGCUAUUUAUAGCUAUUCCUGCACGGUCUUCAGCCAUGUAAAAUAUCUUCGUUUACAAUUAUUUUGUCUCCCACUAACGAACCAGCUGGUUUUAAUCCAGCCGAACCAAACUUAUAUUUCAGCCACAUCAAAAAAUAUUUCCUUGGGCAUAUUGAAAGAUUAUAGAUGAAAUGGUGGACAAUCCAAGAGGAUCCACAUCUAUAACAUUAAAAGCUCCAACAUUGUCUACUUGGGAGAGACCAAUAAUGGCAAAUACGAUAUUAGAAUUGGAGAUCUUUGAUGGAACGAGUCAUUUCGAUAUGUGGCAACGUGAGGUUCUAGAUGCUCUUUCAGCAAGGUCUAGACAUUACCAUUGAUGGAAUGAAAUAAGAUGAAAUAAGAGGUAUGUUUUCUCAAAGAAGAAUUCUGCGAAUAAGUUGUGGUUGGCACUAGAAGAAAUUUUUUGAAGAAAAACAGUAAGAAUAAGCUCCACAUGAAGAAAAUGUUGUUUCAAUUCACUUAUGUUCUAGGUGCCACUAUGAAUGAUACCCAAACCCACCAAUACUACCUUUGACAGGAAUUAAUAUUACUUCUUUUACAAUGGUGAUGUCUUUAUUGUCGUUUCUCCAUUUCUAGUUGUUGCUUAUUUUUCUUAGGACACAUUAUAUUAGUAUUCAUCUAAUUAUUAGUAGAAUUUUUAGUGUCACUCAACCAUAAAAAGUUUUAAAAUGGUCAUAUAACUAUUCAGUUUUAACUUUUUUUUAUGACUAAUUGGCUAACGGUGACAGUUUUUAAAAUUGGCAUAAUAAUAACUUUAACACUCAACAUUUAUAAAUUAUGUCAGUUUAGUCUUGAUUCUAAAACAGUUAGUCCUCAACAUUUACAAAUUGUGUAAAUAAUUUUUUUUAGUUUUUUUGUAGUUUUUUUUGGGACAUUGAGAGUUAAUUUUAAAAGAAUGAAAAAUGAUAGAAAUAUAUUAUUUUGAAAUCUUGGGUGUUUGCAUUUUUUGUAUGUUUUCGAUUAAAUUUAAUUGAUAUUUUUUUUAGCUUUUUAGGUGAAAUGGUCACAAAGAAAAGAAUAAAUGCACACAAAAAAAAAUCAAAUUAAACAAUAUGUAAGUGCAAAGGGGUAGAUUUUUUAGAAUUAAGAUUAAAUUGACACAAUAUAUAAAUGUUGAGGGUUACAAUUGCUAUUAUGUCGAUUUAAAAAGCUGGCACCACUAGCCUACUAGCUACUUAUGACUAAAAAAGACAAAAUUGAAGAAUCAUUUUAUAAUUUUUCAUAAUUAAAUGACUAAUUUUUUUUAUUAAUAGUUAGGUAACUAGUAGUUUGUCCUUUUUCUUAAUUGCUUGUGGAGAUUUUCUAAGAUGCAGCUAUAGUAUGGAAUGACCAAUCAAUUUAUAAUCCUUAUAAGCUUUUGAUUAUGAAAUAUGGAGUUUAUUUGUUUUAAAAAAAAUAUGAUCGUUCAAUUUAAAAUUCCCGUAAACUUGUGAGUGAAUUACAUUAAUAAAAUUUGAACAUCGAUCAUUAAAAGUGUCAAUAAACAACUUUAACCUCUCUUCUUUUAUACGUUUCAGAAAAACACUAUUUUUUAUUAGAUCAUAAUAAUUAUCUCGCAAAAAAUUUAACUACUAAAAUAGAAAAAUAGAGAGAAAGAAACACUAACAAUUUAGGCAAUACUCUGUAACUUUACCAAUAUGGCGACUUAUUGCUGAUAAAUCAACAAGACACCAAAGAAACUUUAUUUUAUGGCGAAAAGGUGGUGGGUUAGUUUUUGUCAUCAAAUGGGCCAAUUUCACGACUGCCUGCGGCGCCAUGGCUGCUGCCUUCACCACCGAAAAACCUUAAAGGGUUCCCUCCAAUAUCACUUGCAGGAGAACUGCUUUCCAGUGGUCCUAACGGGUAUUGUCCCGGCCCCAUAUCAUUGUCGAAAGGCCCAAUAUUGUCGCCUUUAAGCAGAUCGUCUCUAAGAGGCUCAAAUGGUGGCAGUUCCGGGUUAGCAGUACGAACACUUGAGGAGCUAUCAUAACCAAAUGGAGGCAUUGACGGCCUCGGUUCUAUAGCAGCACUCGAGCUGCAGCCGUAAGAGAAUCCUGUCAGCCCUGACUCAGGUGCAAUUCUUGAGCUGCCACCAUGAGAGGGUCUUGGCUGCUAGAGACUUGAGCUGCCAACACCGCCAAGAGAAUAUCCUAGCAACUUCACGUGAUCCCCGGUAGCAGCAGCAAAGAGGUUAUGAUAUGUAUUGGCAAUCUACAAUCUUUGACUUUUCAAAGAUAUUUGUGUCAGAGAUUUGGCACCGAAAAUCUAAGCAUUUAAGGCAUAGAUUUUUGGGUUGAAAUUUGGCUUGGGAUAAUUGCAAUUUUGGUCCCUAAUUGUAUAGAGACUUUGCAAGUUAAUCCUUGAGCUUCAACUAUAAAUAGGCCUAGCUAUUUCUCAUUUUCACCAUCCCACAAAUGCCAUUCUCUACUUAAGGCAUUCUUCUCUCUCCUUAUUUGUAAAUUUUCACUUGUAUUUUAGAGUGAAAUAUAUUUGGUAGUACCCGAGGAUGUAGGCAAAAUUUGCUGACCCUCGUUAAAAUUCUAGUGUUCUUUAUUAUUUAUUUUGCAUAUUUUGUGAGUGUGAUUGUAGUGAUUUAUUGUGCUAUUAAAUUACGAUAGAGGGAUAUUCUGGCUAGGAAAGAUCUGGUACUUAAGCGAUCCUCGUGAUCCACCUCUCUUUCUUGGGAAUUGAACUUAGUGUGAUUUUUUAGUACAAUAAUUUUACUCUUUUACACGCUUCCGUGCAACAAUUGGUAUCAGAGCUAGAUUCGUACUUGGUGAAUACGACCGUUUACGAUACUAUACGUAUACGGUAUUGUUCAUCCAUGGCACUAUUCACGUAGACGGUACUGUUCACGUAUACAGUAGUUGGGAUCGAGGAGAAGAAUGGCAGAGGCAUCGUCAUCAACAAAGACUACCGUGACCAAUGCAAAAUUUGAAGUAGAGAAAUUUGAUGGUACCAAUAAUUUUGGUAUGUGGUAAUGUGAGAUCCUAGAUGUCUUAUGUCAGCAAGAGUUGGAUAUAGCUCUUGAAGAAAAACCUGACAAGAUGGAUGACAAGGAGUGGGCCAAGAUCAAUAGACAGGCGUGAGGUACAAUCCGCCUAUGUUUGGCCAAAGAGCAAAAGUACUCUGUCAUGAGGGAGACAUCAACGAAGAAGUUGUGGGAUACAUUGGAAGAAACGUUUCUAACGAAAAGUCUUGAAAAUAGGCUUUAUAUGAAAAAUAAACUUUUUCGAUUCACGUAUGCACCCGGUAUGUCGAUGAAUGACCAUGUGAACUCAUUCAAUAAAAUUUUUGCAGACUUGUUAAAUUUGGAUGAGAAAUUUGAAGAUGAAGACAAGGCAUUAUUGUUGUUGAAUUCUCUUCCCGAUGAAUAUGAUCAUCUUACCACCACAUUGCUUCAUGGGAAGGACACGAUCACAUUUGAUGCACUCUAUAGCGCGUUGUAUAGAUCUGAGACUUGAAAGAAAGAUAAAAGAGAUCACAGAGAUACAACUGCAGAAGUCUUAGCAGUAAGAGGUCGUUCACAUAGCAACAAACCUGGUAGAAGGGGCAAGUCCAAAGGGAGACCCGCCAAAGAUGAAUGUGCUUUUUGUCGUGAGAAAGGGCACUGGAAAAAGAAUUGUCCUAAGUUACAAAAGGGCAAGGCUAUUUCUGAUGCAUGUAUAGCAGAGCAUGAUGAGGAGUCAGACUUUAGCUUGGUUGGUAUGGCAAUGACAUGUCAUACGGAUGAGUGGAUCUUGGAUUCGGGAUGUACUUACCAUAUGUGUCCUAAUAAGGACUGGUUUUCUAGUCCUGAAGAAUUAGAAGGUGGAGUUGUUUUUAUGGGCAAUGACAGUGCUUUGAAGACAAUGGGAGUAGGUACAAUCAAAUUGAAGAAUCACGACGGCUCAAUCCAAGUCUUGAUAGAUGUUCGCUAUGUACCUAGCUUGAAGAAAAAUCUCAUCUCAUUAGGGGCCCUAGAAUCUAAAGGGCUCACUGUCACUUUGAGAGAUGGAUUACUAAAGGUAGUAGCUGGGGUAUUGACGGUGAUGAAAGGCACUAGAAGAAAUAACUUGUACUAUUUAAAUGAAAGUACAGUUACUGGAUCAACAUCAACAGCUUCUGUGAAAGAUGCAGAUUCAGAGGCUACCAGGUUAUGGCAUAGGCGAUUGGGACAUGCUGGUGAAAAAGCUUUGCAGACUUUGGCGAAGCAAGGCUUGUUGAAAGGUGAAAAUUCUUGCAAAUUGGAAUUCUGUGAACAUUGUGUUCUGGGCAAGCAGACGAUGGUAAAAUUUGGUUCAGCAAUUCACAGUACGGAAGGAAUUCUGGACUAUGUUCACAGUGACGUGUGGGGACCUACCAAAGUGGCUUCUUUGGGAGGUAUGCACUAUAUUGUUACUUUUGUUGAUGGUUAUUCAAGAAAAGUAUGGGUGUAUCUAAUUAAAAGAAAAAGUGAAGUUUUGAAUGCAUUUCUGAAGUAGAAAAAGAUGGUGGAGACUCAGACUGGUCAGAAGGUCAAACGACUUCGAUCAGAUAAUGGUACUGAGUAUAAAAAUGAUUCAUUUCUACAAGUAUGUCAAGAUGAGGGCAUUGUACGACACUUCACUGUUCGGGAUACACCACAGCAGAAUGGGGUGGCAGAACGUAUGAAUCAGACUAUACUGGAGAAAGUUCGAUGUAUGUUGUCCAAUGCUGGAUUGGGCAAGAAAUUUUGGGCUGAGGCAGUUACAUAUGCGUGCCAUCUAAUUAACCGGUUGCCAUCAGCUGCAAUAGAUGGAAAAACUCCUAUGGAGAUGUGGACUGGUAAACCUGCUACUGAUUAUGAUUCUUUACAUGUUUUUGGUUCCACUGCAUAUUAUUACGUAAAAGAAUCUAAGUUAGACCCAAGAGCAAAGAAAUCAUUAUUCAUGGGUAUAACUGGUGGAGUAAAAGGAUACCGUCUCUAGUAUCCUGAUACAAGGAAGAUUCUUUUCAGUAGAGAUGUGACUUUUGAUGAAUCAACCAUGAUGAAGAACAAAGAUUCACAAAAGGAUGACAAAACCAGUGGCGCUUUGCAGUAGGUGGAGCUUGAAAAGGUUAAUGAUGAUCCAACUAAUACUGAGGGAACAAAUGAUGAAGAAGUUUCUACCUAAGAACUUCCACAGCAACAAGAUUCAAUUGCGUAUAGGAGGCCAAGAAGAGAGAUUCGUAAGCCUGCUCACUUUGAUGAUAUAGUGGCCUAUGCACUUCCAAUUGCGGAUGAUGAUGUUCCUUCUACUUACACAGAAGCAAUAAGUAACCCUGAUUGUAUAAAGUGGAAGCAAGCUAUGAAUGAAGAAAUGCAGUCUCUUCAUAAAAAUAGGACUUGGGAGUUGGUGACACUGCCCAAGGGAAAGAAGGCAAUUGGAUGCAAAUGGGUAUAUGCAAAGAAGGAAGGAUUUCCUGGUAAAAAUGAAAUUCGAUACAAGGCUAGAUUGGUAGCAAAGGGUUACGCUCAGAAAGAAGGAAUAUACUACAAUGAAGUGUUUUCUCCAGUUGUGAAGCAUUCGUCUAUUCGAAUUUUGCUAGCAUUGGUUGCGCAAUAUGACCUUGAACUAGUUCAGCUUGAUGUGAAGACGGCUUUUUUACAUGGUGAUUUGGAAGAGGAAAUCUAUAUGACUCAGCUUGAUGGAUUCAAGGUUGCUGAUAAAGAAAAUUGGGUUUGCAAACUGACGAAGUUGCUUUAUGGAUUGAAACAAUCUCUGAGGCAGUGGUACAAGUGAUUUGAUCAGUUCAUAAAGUUGCAAAGGUACACAAGAAGUAAAUUUGAUCAUUGCGUGUAUUUUCAGAAGCUACAAGUAGGAACUUUCAUAUACUUGCUCUUAUAUGUUGAUGAUAUGCUGAUAGCAUCUAAGAGCAAAGUUGAGAUUGAGAGAUUGAAGACUCAAUUCAAUCUUGAAUUUGAGAUGAAAGAUCUAGGUGAACCUAAGAAGAUUCUUGGCAUGGAAAUAUGUAGAGAUAGAGCUCAAGGCAGAGUUAGCUUGUCUCAGAAGCAGUAUUUGAAGAAAGUACUACAGCAGUUUGGCAUGAACGAGCAGACCAAACCUGUAAGUACCCCGUUGGCUUCUCAUUUCAAGCUUUCUGCACAACUAUCUCCUUUGAUGAAUACGGAACAAAAAUACAUGUUACAAGUUCUGUAUUCUAAUGCAGUGGGUAGCUUGAUGUAUGCAAUGGUGUGUACAAGACCCGACAUUUCACAGGCAGUUAGUAUAGUGAGCAGGUAUAUGCAUAAUCCUGGAAAAGGACAUUGGCAAGCUGUGAAAUGGAUUCUACGGUAUAUUCUGAAGACCGUGGAUGUUGGAUUACUGUUCAAGCAGGAUACUACACUUGGUAAAGGUGUUAUUGGGUACGUUGAUUCUGACUAUGCCAGUGAUUUGGACAAACGAAGAUCAACCACCGGUUAUGUGUUUACACUUGCUGGAGGACCAAUAAGUUGGAAGUCUACACUGCAGUCUACAGUUGCGUUGUCAACCACAGAAGCCGAAUACAUGGCUGUAACAGAGGCUGUAAAAGAAGCUAUUUGGUUACAAGGUAUGGUUAAAACCUUGGGAUUGGUUCAGGAGCAUAUUGACGUGUAUUGUGAUAGUCAAAGUGCUAUUCAUUUAGCAAAGAAUCAAGUCUAUCAUGCACGUACAAAGCAUAUCGACAUACGAUUCCAUUUUGUGCGGGAAAUUAUUGAUGAGGGGAAAAUUCGUCUUCAGAAGAUCAAGACUGCAGAUAAUCCCGCAGAUAUGAUGACCAAGGUGGUAACAACAAUCAAGUUCGAACAUUGUUUGAACUUGAUCAAUAUCCUGCAAGUUUAACAGUUGAAGAAGGCACUAUCAAGUAUUGUUGUCAAAGGUAGAAAGAAUUGUGUGAAGAUAAGAUUAUCCUAAUCAAAUCUUCAAGGUGGAGAUUAUUGGCAAUCUACAAUCUUUGACUUUUCAAAGAUAUUUGUGUCAGAGAUUUGGCACCGAAAAUCUAAGCAUUUAAGGCAUAGAUUUUUGGGUUGAAAUUUGGCUUGGGAUAAUUGCAAUUUUGGUCCCUAAUUGUAUAGAGACUUUACAAGUUAAUCCUUGAGCUUCAACUAUAAAUAGGCCUAGCCAUUUCUCAUUUUCACCAUCCCACAAAUGCCAUUCUCUACUUAAGGCAUUCUUCUCUCUCCUUAUUUGUAAAUUUUCACUUGUAUUUUGGAGUGAAAUAUAUUUGGUAGUGCCCGAGGACGUAGGCAAAAUUUGCUGAACCUCGUUAAAAUUCUAGUGUUCUUUAUUGUUUAUUUUGCAUAUAUUGUGAGUGUGAUUGUAGUGAUUUAUUGUGCUAUUAAAUUACGAUAGAGGGAUAUUCUGGCUAGGAAAGAUCUGGUACUUAAGCGAUCCUCGUGAUCCACCUCUCUUUCCUGGGAAUUGAACUUAGUGUGAUUUUUUAGUACAAUAAUUUUACUCUUUUACACGCUUCCGCGCAACAAUAUGUUAAGCCCAUUUCCCUCUGUAUGCUACUGCUAGCUUCACCUCUAAUAUAAUUGGUGUUAGUAUUGGAGUUUAACCGAUCCUUCCAGGGAAAACCCUCAGAGGUGUCUUUGUCUCCAACACCUACAUUAGCAAUGCCAAUAGUUUGACAGACUGCAGGUGCACGGCCUUGGGGUGGUGGUGGUGGUAAAGGAGCAUCUCCUUGAGUGAGACCAACAGAUGAAGAAGGAAAUUGUUCAUAAAAUUCCAUAAGUUUCCUUAUGUCUAUCCUCAUUGUUUCCCCAUACCAAAUUAAGUCAUCCAGUUCAUUAACGUUAAAGUCAUCUGGCAUCUUGCCUUGUUCGAUUUGAAACAUGAGCUGCCCCACCUUCAUUUCCUUGUUUUUCCUGUUUUGCUUCCUGAGUUGGUCUUGCGACUUGGAAAUCAUCUCUUUGUAGUAGGUCUCCAAGUUCAUCGAUCUCUUCAUGCUUUCUACCUCGGGAACUUCAUUGAACUUCCGUAGCAGUCGUUCCACCUCUUCACGCGAUGGUCACACUAUUGGCUCCUGUUCGUUUCAACUGUAUAUUACAAUGCCACCUUCUACACCACAUAGAGUGGUCAGCUCCGUCACUUUCUUCACCAGCCGUUGCCUCCUUUUCGUCAGGCUUGCUCUUCGGGCACUGCUAUUUUCUAUCCAAGCAAGCUUAACCUUCUUUCUUGUCAUUGCUAUUGCUAGUUUUGCAAGCUUAACAGUUUCUGAUUGUUUGCCAACUAGUGCUCUCUCUCUUGCUCUCAAACUGUUUCUAACGGAGGGUGAAGGAAAGAAUUGGGUUGCUUGAAACGAGUGGCGAAUAAGGCAUUUAUACAGUGAGUGAGUAUAAGGCAAAACGGUGAGUUUCAAGGCUAAAUCAUUUGGAGACUCAAAGAACACUAAGGCAUAUCCAUAAUAGCUAACGAAAUCCACUUGUCAAAGAUUUUGUAUAUAAAUGAUGGUAAUCUUUGUUAAUUAUGGCAAUAUAAAUCACCAUUUGGAUUUGGUUAACCUUAAAACAUCUAUUUAUUCAUUAUGGUAAAGAAAUAAUAUUGUGUUUAAAAAUCAAAUUUAUUUGUCUAAUUCUUAUAAUAAACUUAGAAAAAGAAAAUUCAUAUAUGUGUCAAUUUUUAAUGACAAAAUUAUAUUAUCAUAUUUGAAAAGUAAAUUAUUAUAAAUAAAAAGGAAAUUCAACCAUUAUUUAAUUGCGAUAUUCUUUGUUUAUUUAAUUCAUAACAAAAAAAUAUCAAUAGUUGAAUCAAACAUGUAUCAUUCAUUAUGAAUAUCAUACCUUUUUUUUACAUCCGUUGUACCAAAUGGGCAUUAAUGUUUACAUAACUAAGAGCUUGUUUUUAAAAUAAGCUCGUCUCCAUUAUAAGUAACAUUGUGUGUUUCAUUAUACAAUUAUGAAAUUUAUCUUGUAAGAAUAAAAAAUAUUAAAAUUACUAAUUUAAAUUUAAAUUUAGAUUUAAAUUUAUAAUAAUCAUAAGUAUACAUAUUUAAUAUAGUAACUCCUAAUAUAUAUUUGACAAAUCAUAAAUUAGAGAAAUCAUCGGUUUUCUAUAUAAUCUGUGAUGAAUUUUAGUGUAAUAUCAAAAACUUUUCAUGGCAUAUUAAUUUAAUUUCAAAUGUAAUUUAAUAGUAAUUUUGGACUGUAGAUGUUAUAUAUAUAUAUGUAGACAUGUAGAAAUUAUAAUAAAAAUAAUAUAUAUAUAUAUAUAUAUAAUAGAAUGUUAGCUAAUUAUUGACAGUGGUGUAGAUUUUUAUUUAUGACUUAAAUACCUCAACUUUUUUCACAAACAAAUUAAAUUUGUGUUUUUGAAAUCCAUCAAAUAUUUCGUUAUUAUUUCACUAAAAUUGAAGGAAAUUUGGAUGAAAAUUUCAUGGGACACAAUGAUAUUUAUGGUAACUUCUAUUCGAAUUUUAGGUAAAUAAAUAAAUUUAUAAGAAUUUCGAAAAAAAACUUUUAAAAAAUGGAGAUGCAAAUAAUAAAAUUUUAUUUACCUGUGAGAAAAACUCUUAAAUUUUAAUAAAAUUUAGAAUCAAAUGUAACAAAUAUAUAGAUACAAAAUAUAUCUAUCGUUUUGACAUCUCAAAUAUAUAUCUAAUAAUUUAGAUUUCAAAAUAAGGAAUUGUAUUUAAUAUUAUAUUUGAAAGGAAAGUCGAGUUCCUAUAUAUAAAAUUCUUAUUGUGACCAUUUCCAUAUAUAGAAUUCUUAUUUUGACCAUUUCCAUUUAUAGGAUUGACGGCUAAGAAAAAUCAGGUGGAAACCAUGCAUGCAUGUAACCAACCACCCUAUGUGUUAAAAUUAAAUAUUAUGUCAUAUUGCUUUAUAAGAUGUGUUUGGAAAGUUUUUGUCCAACGGCUACACCAAUCAAAAUUAGCCGUUUAGGGGCAUUUUGGUCUAAAAAUUAGGGUUGAAAUCAACUAUAUAAAGUCACUCUUUUUUUUUUAAGGAAUAUAAAGUCACUCUUUGCUGAAUGAAAAUGGGACUCUUUUGCUUAGGUUUUUUUGUCAUCUUUUCCCUCGGUUUUAUGUUAGGCUUAGGUUUUUUCUUUUCUUUUUCUUUUCAUUUUUAGUUUAGGUUCUUUUUUUUUUUUUAGGUUAGAUUUUAAUUUUGUUGUUUACUUUCUACUUUAUUGCUAAAGAUUUUGUAAACAAUGAUGGACAAACUCUUGAGCAUCAAUGAAACUUCAUCAAUUGAAUAAACAUUUUCUUAAACCCUUUGUUUUCACCUUAUGCUUACAAUAUGUUUGAUAAAAUGCUUAUUAGGAAUUUGAGUUUGAGCAUGUGCUAAAUUUGUUGGAUGGUUGGUUGAUUGAUUUUUUUGUUAUCUUAAGUUAAGUCUAUGUCUAUUCUUGAUUGAUUGGUUGUUCGAUUAUAUAGAAAUACUUAAUAUGUUAGAGUUGAUGCCUCUAGCGAAAUACUUGGAUAAAUGAGACUGAGAGGAGAGUUUAUCCUUAUAUAGUUCGAUAUAAUCGUGUCGAGUAGUGAGAAUGAAAGGUAAUCUAUAUGCCUAGGUGAGACCGAGAGGUAAUCUUAGGUGGUAUCUUUUAGUCUAGGAUAAGACCAAGAGGAGAUUCCUAACUAAGAGUGACCACCAAUAUAACGAGUAUAGGUUAAUUAGUUUAAUUAGCACUCAACUAAUCAAUCGACCAUCGUUUAAUCAUUUACAUUAUCUAAAAUAUUAGGAAGAAAGUUUAGCUUAGUUAGUUCAAUUAAUAGUUUAAUUUUAGUUUGUAAACAAUUUUAUUUGGACUUGCAUUAAUAAUUUCCAACUCGAUUAGACUAGUAAUUGCUUAACUUGUAAUUAACUUAAUAAACACAUUUAUCCACUUGGCAAUCCUUUGGGUUCAAACCUUGGGAUACUCGAGUAUCCCAUUGACACUACAAAUAUUACAACUGACACUAUAUGCUUGGGGUUAAAAUAAAACUUUUAAAUAUUUUUUAUAUUUUUUUUGUUUUUGUGCGCACGUGUGAAGUAACCCAUUGUUUUCAAAAUAACCAUCAAACACCAAUUCACAACAGCCUAAUCAAGUGACCAUUGGUCUAUUUCCACAAUUUAAACAUCAUAUAUCCUUUACACAAUUCACAUGCCAACAUUUAACUAACAUUGCUAUUCAAUAUACCAAAUUGACAAUACACCACAUCUCAACUCAUACAUGUUCAUUUUCAUAAUAUAACCAUUUUACUUUAACAACUCAUAUGGUUAAGCUCAAAUUGACAUUUAUUGAUCCAAAAUUUAAAAAUGACCAUUUAAAUUAUGAAACUGACUCAACCUUAGAUACAUGUCAUAUUUCAAAACGUAAAGGAACUAUACAAACAUUACUACGUUGAGGGUUGUGGUUUGGAUGUUGGAUCGCUCCUCGAGCCUUCGAGAUCUACUAAUACCAAAACACUGAAUAAAGAAACCAUACACUGAGUGAUAAAACUCACUGAUACUUUCAUGAUUCAAGAUAAUAAAGCAACAACACUAUCAUGUUAAGUAUACAACAACACAUGAUCUAAUUUAACCAUUUAAGUCUCAAGAAUCAAGUUUAUGUACUAAUCCAUUUAACCAAGUUUUUAUACACAUUUCAAGCCAUGUAUUAUAACCACAUAACAUAUCCAUCUCCAUUUCAUUUCAUACUACCUAUUCAUUUCAUUAUCUUAUUCUUUCUCGAAUCUAUAGAUUCAUUUCACUACCAUAUCAGCCCUCAGGGCUUAUUUAAAAUGGUUUGCAUGAUCUUUCACAUGUUGUCAGUUGAUAAAUUUCAUAUACAUACAUAUAUUGUACCAUUUGUUGGAAAAAAAUAUGGUUCAAAAAUGAUUUUUUUGCACAACGAAAAAUAAAAAUUUUAAAAAUAGACCCAGGUUGUGAUAUUUAUAGCAAUAAACACUAGACAGAAUUUGCAUGUGUUUUUGGAUAGAUAGAUCCUUGCCAUUCUUAGCUUUCAACCAAAUGAUCUUCUCUGCUAUUCUCGUACCACGAACUGCUUCAAGUGUGAGCUUGAACGAAUCGAACCAAACACAGAACCAGAAAUAAUUUUCUUUUCUUUAGUGUGAAAACGAAAAUCCCUUUUCAAAUAGAAACCUACAGAAUUGUUAUUCCAGAAAAUAUAUUUAAUUCUUAAAGAAUAAAAGUUUCUCUAUUUUCGGGCAAAAAAAUGAUAUCUGAAAGUUGUGAUAAUAGCCCUAUUGCUGCCAUAUAUUUAUAGGAAGAGAAGGUAGAACUCUUUUUGAAUUGUAAAAGUUUAUAUGAACUCCUAGUCUAACUAGAAGUAUAGGUGGCGGCAACCCUAGUUAAUAUUACUAGGGUUUUCCAUCCACCCUUUUAACAUGAGGGGCUUUUAGGCCAUUCCUGUAACACCCCUAACCCGUAUCCGUUGCCGGAACAGGGUUACAAAGCAUUAUCGAAAUAUACAGAUCAAGUAAACAAAUAUUUUAUUUUAUACAGUAUUCCUGUUAGAAAUCAAGCAUAAAGUCCCUUAUAUGAACCCUCGAGGUCCAAAACAUGUAUUAGAAACGAGUCGGGACUAAACCUGGUUCUCAGAGAAUUUUUCGCAAAAUCUUAAAAUUUUUCCUAGGUGUAGAGGUCACACGCCCGUGUGGUCAGGCCGUGUGGUUCACACGGCCAAGGGACACACCCGUGUCUCAGGCCGUGCAAUUCUAUGACUUGGGUCACAGAGUCAAGCCACAUGCCCGUGUGUCGGGCCGUGUAUAAAUACCUAGGCAUUCUGUUUUGAAAUUUUAAAGAUGCAAGGGACACAAAAGCCAGGUCACAAGCCCGCGUCUCUGCCCGUGUGGACGAAAAUAGGCUAUUUUUCAAGUCAUAUUUCUCAAUCCAUUUUGUCCUCUUCCUACACCAACACUUUAACACAUUCACAAGCUAAUAUAGGCCAUUUAACCCAACUCAAAAUCAAGUCCUAUACAUGAUAUAAUACCUCAUAUAAUCAAGUAUACACACCUACUUAAAUUACCAAGUUCACAUAUAUGCAUAUCUUAUCAAAUAUGCUGACUUAAUUCAAUCAUCAAUAUGAAAAUAUAAUUUCUAUCAAUCAACCAUUUCAAACACAUACCAAACAUAUCCAUCACAAGCCAUUCCAAUGGCUAGAUACAAUUAAAGCAUUUAUAUGCCGAUAUUGGUCAAUUAACCUAUACAUGCCAUUAUAACCAUAAUCGAUUUACCAUAUAUAUACCGAAAUAGGCUGAUAUAUAGUGUGAGUGAUCUCUGCCAAGCUUCCAAUCCAACGAGCCUCCAAAUUACUAUAUAGCAGGGAAAAAUAAAACAGAGUAAGCAGGAAAUGCUUAGUAAGUUCAUAUAACAUGGUAAUUAACUUACCAUUCAUUUAAAUUCAAUAUAAACAUACAGGGCACAUUCAAUCAACUUGGUCACGAUCCCUAACGCAUAUCCUUAUCACCCUUGUUAGUCAUAUAUUUCAUAUAAAUAUCAAGAAACAUGUAUGGGCUCAACAAUCAUUAGAUUUCCAUAUAUAUAUAUUUUCCACAUGAUGUAUUCAUAUAACAUAUACAAAUUAUAUCCUUGUAUUUCAAGUACAUUUUCAUAAUAAUUUGUCUCGAGUUCAGAUUAUUCAUGUCGGAACUUUUCCCAUUAAAUCAUUUGAAAUGUCAGUGUCACACGGGUAAUACACUCAAGGUGUACAAAUAUAUAAUCAUGGAUGAACAUAUUCAUUAAACAAAUUUCAUGUUCAUAUAUUAUCAUAUCAUAUUUCCAUAUAUCAUGAAUCAUCAUUUUCAUGUAUCUCAGGUAGAUACGUGUAUUAAUUCACUUCAUGCUCAUAUUUUCUCAUGCCAGGAUUUUGCUCGUUGAAUUUAUUUGAAAUAUCAGUGGAUACACAGGUAGUACACUCGAAGUGUACAAAUCAGAAAUCCAUCAAUUCAUAUUCAAGAGUGCUCUUUAAAGCACAUAAUCGGGAAAUCCUCUUUCAAGCCAUACAAUAGGAAGCUUAAAAAGAGCUAUUAAUCGGAAAGCUCAUAAGAGCCAUAAUCAGGAAGUUCACAAAGAAUUUUAAUCAGGAAGCUCACGAAGGCCUUUAAUCAGGAGCUCCGAAUAGCCAUAUAUUGGGAAGUUAAAGUGAACCAUAUCAGGACGCUCACAAAGAGCUGCGUUUGUGUAACAGCCCGAUUUUGGGCCUAGUCGGAAUAGUAGUUUCGGGACCACAAAUCUGACGAGAGAAAAUAUGGUUAUUGUUGACGCCAUUUUUUGGAUGAAAACGGGGUCGACUUGGGUUUUGAAAAAUGAAAACGAAAGUGGGAGUCGCCACCAAUCUUUUUUGAUGAGGUGUGAUUGGGUCACCUUUAAAAGCGGUUGUUUUUAAUAAAUAAUUUAAUUUUAUUAAAACAACGAGUUUGGUCUACAAAAAUUCAGAAAACGGGUUCGGGAGUCGGUUACGUACGAGGAAGGAUUAGUAUCCUCGAAACGCCCAAAAUUGGUACCUAGUUGAUUAGUUAAUGUCUUAAUGUCGAAAAUUGAAAACUUUGAAGAAUUUUAAAAAUACGAUCAUUGUAUUAAAACGUUGAAAAUUUUUAAGAAACAAGGGGAUAUUUCACAUUAUUCGAGAAAGAGAAUCAUAUCCAGUAAGUUAGGACACAAUGUCUCGAAUUCCCGAUACGCGAAUAAAAAAUGCUUAUUUAAAAGAUAUUUAAUUAUCUUGGAUUUAAAAAGGAAUCACGACCAGUAAGUUAGGACACGAUCUUUUUUAAUUCCCGAUAUUGUUUAAAACUUGAGUUUAAAAAGAUUCGUGUAAUAAAGUUUAAAAGAAUAUUCAAUUGUUUAAAUCAAAUGAAGAAAUCGCAACCCAAUACGUUAGGGCACAAUUUCUCAAAAUAUUAAACAUUGAAUAUUGCAUUUAUUUCGAAAAAUCCUUGUCUCGAAAAAACAACGUGUCACAUCUAAUGCGUUAGGACACAACGUAUUGAAUUCUCGAUAACGAACAUUUUAUUUAUGUUUUUUAUAAAAGACUAAUCUCAAUUAUUUAAAAUCAACGAAGAAAAUCGAAACCCAAUACGUUAGGGCUCGAUUCUCUUGAAGAUCCAAAAUACUGAAUAUUACUUAUGUUUUUAAAAUUUCUUUUUUGAAAUCUAAAAAAAAUGGGUGUAAUGAAAUGAUGAUGAUAAUGUAAGUAAAAUAAUCACGAGCAAAACAAAAUAUAAAUAAGUAAUGAGACUAAUAUAUAAAAAAUAUCAAACAGACAAACUUAAGCAAGAUAAAAUAACAAUAGCAGACAUAUACAUGAAGAAAUAAAUAAAGAUAUAUAUAUAUGAAUUACAAAACAUGAAAAUAUAAGUAUUUACAUAUAUAAAUAGAUUUAAAAAAUAUAAAAUAUAAACAUGUACAUUAUAAGAACGUAGGUAUGUACAUAAAUAUAAAAAAAAUUCUAAGAUAAAACAAUGUGCAUAUAUACAUAUUUAUACAGAUUAAAAAAACAUAUAUUAUAAAAACUUAUUCACAUAUAUAUAUUUGAAAUUGUAAAAAUAAUAAAUGUAUGUAUAAAUAUAUAUAAAACAUGGGAUGUACGUACGUAUGUAUACUAAAAUAAUUGCAUGUAUGUAUAUGCAUAUAACAUAAUUUAAAGUAAAAAGGUAUUUAAUAAUAUUAAUAAUAAUGCUAAAUAAUAAUUAUAAUAGUUUUAAUAAUAAUAUAUAAUAAUAAAAAAUAGCACAUAUUAAAAUAACGUACACAUAUAUACAUAAAGAUAAAUGAAAAUAAAAAUAAAACAAAAAUUAAUAGUUAAAAAAAUGAAAGGGAUUAAAUCAAAAUCAAAAAUAAAAUUAAGGGCUCAAAUUACAAAUAAGAAAAGUAAUUAAAACACGCUGCAAAAGAAUGAGGACCAAACAUGAAAUACUCCCACAUCACUGAAACGGUGCCGUUCUAGGGGAAUACUAGCGCAUGGUCUAGGGACCAAAUUGAAACAGAAGCAAAAUUAUGUGGCCAAAAUUAAAUUUAAACAAAAGGCAGCAUUGAAUGCACCGCAAGAUUAGAGGGACCAAAGGCACAAAUUACCCAUUAGGGCAAGAGUGCGCAGGUUUUCCCUCUUUCAAACGGCGCCGCUUUAAUCAACAUAAAAGCUAAAAAAUUUACAUUUUUCUGCAGUUUCAUUUUGCUGCAAAGAACACAAAAAAUAAAAUAAAGGGAAAAUCCCUUUUCUCUGCUAGGGUUCCAAGGCUAGGAACCCCACCGCCAUCACGCCUCCUCACUGCCCAAUGGCCGGAGCCAUGCGAGGGCGUCUCCCACCAGCGCGUUGGAGCGCGCUUAGAGACCAAGGCUCUGAAACAGGGAAACGAGGAUAAAACGGAAGGCCUCUGCCCCUUCCUUAACCCGCGUUCGGCUACGGCAAAGAGCCGAUGACGACGCCGAAUUUAGGGGCCGAUGCAGGUGAGUUUAGUCUUCCCAUUUUCCUUUUUCUUUUACGUUAUUAUAAGUUUUUGUUUAAGAAGAAUAAAAAUAAGACUUAUAAAAAUAGAAAUGAUAACGAUAAGUAAAAAAAAACUAAGCGGAAAUGGUGAUGCUCAACCUUUGGAACUCUCUUGUUUUUUUGCUUUUGAUUUCUCAAAUGUUUCUCCAAAAAAAAGGCCCUUACAAAACGUUCGGUCCCUGGCUUUAUGGCCAUUUUUACAUUAUUUUUAUCAUAUCUUUUUGCUUGCAGAUGUUUCCUUUCUGUCAUUGCAGGCGCAAGUGGCAUGGGAGCGGCAGAGCAGGUGGAGCAGGUGAGCAGCGAUGGGACGUGCGGCGGCCAGCAAGUGGACGACCCUAGGUGCGGCGCACCUAGGGUUAAGGUUUCCUACUUUUUUUGUCUGAUUAAUGUUUUGGGCUAUUUGGGCUGUGGGUUAGUUUGGGCUGUUAAUUUGGUUUUGUUUAGGGUCUGUUUUGGUUAGGGUAAUGGGCCCGGGCAUGAAAAUUGGGCUUGUACAGCUGCCCCUCUUUGCUUGUUGUCGUGUAACGAGAACAGAGCAAAGAUUAAGAAAGACCAAUUUUUGCCCGGUCUCGCCGAGUCUUAACUCCUCUUGACGCUUUUCUUCAAGUAGUUUCAUUCCAAUCCAAUGUGUCAUGUUGCUUCAAUCCACUCCACUGCAACUUCAGAGAUAUAUGACUUGUAACUUCAAUCCAUUCUGUUGUAACUUCAGGGGGUAAGGUCCAUCAUUCUGACCCGCUUCACUGCAACUUCAGGGAGAUCGGACUCAUAUCUUCAACUUGCCCCACUACAACUUUAGGGGGAUAAGAUUCGUUGUUUUCAAUCUAUUCCACUGCAUCUUCAGGGAAAUAAGACUUGAUGCGACCUACUCUGCUGUAACCUCAGAGAGAUAAGAUCCUUUAUUUUAAUCCACUCCACUGUAACUUCAGGGAGAUAGGAUAGUGUCUUCGAUCUGCUCCGCUGUAACCUCAGGGAGAUAAGAUCUGAAAUUCUUUGGUCUGUUCCACUGUAAUCUCAGGGAGAUAAGACCUGAUGUGAUCUUCUCUACUGUAACUUCAGAGAGAUAAGAUCCUUUAAUCCGCUCCAUUGUAAUCUCAAGGAGAUAGGAUUACUAUCUUUGAUCUGCUCCGCUGUAAUCUCAGGGAGAUAAGAUCUCUGGCUUCAAUCUGCUCCAAUGCAACCGAUGGAGGCAAGGCUUUGUCUUUGAUCUGCUUCGCUGUUAAUGCAGGAAGGCAAGAUCUACUUCUUUAACUAGCUCCACUGCAAUCGAUGGAUGCAAGGCUUUGUUUUCGAUCUGCUUCGCUGUUAAUGUAGGAAGGCAAGAUCUUUUGUCUUCAACCAGCUCUAUCACAACCGAAAGAGGCAAGGUUUGUGUCUUCGAUCUGCUUCGCUGUCAAUGCAGAAAGGCAAGAUCCUUUGUCUUCAUUGAUCUGUCCCUUGGGGAACAUGACCUGUAUGUUCUAUUUUAUGAACCUAAUUGUGCCUAGUGAUUCGGAUGACAUAAUCAGAAUGAAUCAAAUGCUCCUAACUAGAUAUGUAUGAAUGACAUUUGAGUGAAUGCAAAAUGUCAUGAAGAUGAUUCCUUAAUGCUUAGGUUAACAUCACGUAAAAACUUAUUAAGGUUUUAUCACUGACGUACUACAACGCCUUUUUGCUCGUCUGGUAUAUCCAAAGAAACACUUAAUCUGGUUGCCCCCCACUGUAAACCUUAAAGUUUAAUCUAUUAGGGCACAAAAUUUGUACCAUCAUUCUCCCACUAUAAUCCAAGGGUAGAAAGAUAUGGCUUUUUCAAUCUUCUCUUAUCGCAAUUCAAGGAUACAGAAUGUGAAGCUCUUUGGUCCUUUACCUCAUUCCCAAGGUGUCAUACCAAAUGCUCAUGCACAAUUGCAAAAUUUUCCUCUCCGAGAAAACCUUUUCUUAUCAUUUGGUGAUCAUUGCUUGUUUGUUCAUUGAAGCUUUGUCACCAACACGACAUCUCGUUAUUUUGUUCAAUCAAUGUUUGGACAACAAAAUCCAAAAAUAUAGUCUUUAACUUAGACUCUUCCUUCUUAGAUACUUCACCCUUUAAACUUGGUGUUUUCUAAACAAUAGUCCUGUUUCAGGUUUCUAUAUUAUUUAGAACUUUUCAGAGUAAUAUGCAAAACUUCUUUCCUGAAAGUUUUAUUAGUUCGUUAAUCAAUAUUCCUAUGCAACAUGUUUGCAAAAAGAUCAUAACAAUGGACAAGAAUAAAGCUAGUUCUGAUCAUAACUCAAAUAAAACAUCAAAGAUGGCGAAAGAAAGGUAACAAAGAAGUGGAUUGAGAAUGUGCGUUUUCACAAAAGGAAAGGGAGAAAGAAAGAAAAUGUAUUUUCAAGAAUACACAUAAGAACUAGGUGCCCCAGUUAUCGCCGCUUGAGUUUCUCUGUACAAACUUUCCGAAGACCCUUCUGAAUUUGACAUGUGUUCAUAAGAUCUGCAAUACUCUGUCAAUGUUCCGAGACGUUGCAUAUCCUUCCUUAUUGGUAAAGCCAGAUCAUCAUAUGCCCCUGUUCAAAAUUUGAUCCGCUCAAGUCCUGAUGUUCCAAUCCUGCCCAAUACUUGAGUCGCCCUUUUCGGGUUUUCGACUCAAGCCCUCUUUGGUCUCAAAGUGCCCUUUACGGGUUUUCACCUUAGCCUCUCCAAAGUUUUUUUUUUUUUUUUUUUUUUUUUUUUUUUUUUUUUUAGGAAGCAAAGCGCCCUUUACGGGUUUUCACUUCGGUUCCCCUUUCUUUCAAGUGAAGUAUUUCUUGACAGAGUCUGCGUUUACAGGAUUUGGUAAACUUUCGCCAUCCAUCUCGCAUAGGAUCAAAGCUCCACCGGAAAAGGCCUUCUUUACAACAUAAGGGCCUUCCCAAUUUGGCAUCCAUUUUCCUCUAAAAUCUUUUUGCAUAGGAAGAAUCUUUUUUAGUACCAAGUCCCCUUCACGAAAUUCUCGGGGGCGAACCUUUUUAUUAUAAGCUCGCAUCAUUCGUUUCUGGUACAUUUGCCCAUGGUGAAUAGCUCUUAGCCUCUUUUCUUCUAUUAGGUUCAACUGAUCGUACCGAGAUUGGAUCCAAUCGGCUUCAUCCAACUGUAGCUCAGAUAACACCCGUAGAGAAGGGAUUUCAACUUCAAUGGGUAAUACUGCCUCCAUUCCAUAAACCAGAGAAAAAGGCGUUGCCCCAGUAGAAGUUCUAACAGAUGUUCGAUAGGCAAGGAGAGCAAAUGAUAACUUCUCAUGCCAAUCCUUGUAGGUUUCAGUCAUUUUCCCCACAAUCCUUUUAAUGUUUUUAUUGGCUGCCUCCACUGCACCAUUCAUUUUGGGACGAUACGGCGAUGAGUUAUGAUGCUUAAUUUUAAAUUUGCUACAAACUUCAGCUAUUGUGCUAUUAUUCAAGUUCAUCGCGUUGUCGGAUAUGAUCCUCUCAGGCAUCCCAUAUCGACAAAUGAUCUCCUUCUUCAAGAAUUUGCUGACUACUGCUUUUGUGACAUUUGCAUAUGAAGCAGCCUCCACCCACUUGGUAAAGUAAUCAAUUACUACGAAGAUGAAGCGAUGCCCAUUAGAAGCCUUUGGUGAUAUUGGCCCAAUAACAUCCAUACCCCACAUGGAAAACGGCCAAGGAGAGGUCAUGACGUGAAGAGGUGAAGGAGGCGCGUGUAUUUUGUCUCCGUAAAUUUGGCAUUUGUGGCACUUCCUGGCAUGAUCAAUGCAAUCUCCUUCCAUGGUGGGCCAAUAGUACCCAAAUCUCAUGAUCUGUUUGGCCAUCGUGAAACCACUGGCGUGCGUCCCACAAAUACCCUCAUGGACUUCUUCCAAAAUUUUCUUGGCUUCUACCGCAUCUACACAUCUUAACAGUACUUGAUCCUUCCUUCUUUUGUAUAACACUUCUCCAUCUAAGACAUAUUCAAUGGCUAUCUUUCUCAAAGUUCUUUUGUCAUUCUCUGUCGCUUGAUCAGGGUAUUCCCGAUUCUUCACAUAUUGUAAGAUACUCCGAUACCAAGGACAAUCAUCUUUUCCCUCCUCCUCAAUAUUGCAACAAUUAGCCGGGGUCUCAGAGAUACUCAUCUGAACAGGCCUCAUUGCCUCAAGUCUAUUCACCUGAAUCAUCGAAGCUAGAGUAGCUAAUGCAUCAGCCAUUUGGUUUUCCUCCCGUGGGAGGUAAUAGAAGGUGAUAUCGUCAAACUCCUCAGCCAAUUCAAGAACUAGUUUUCUAUAACCAAUUAGCUUAGGAUCUCUAGUCUCCCACUCCCCUUUGAGUUGGUAUAUCACCAACGCUGAAUCCCCGUAUACUCUCAGCACUUUGAUGUUCCGUUCAAUGGCUGCACGAAUGCCCAUAAUACAUGCUUCAUAUUCUGCCAUGUUAUUUGUACAAUCGAAGUCCAACUUGCUGGCUACAGGAUAAUGAUCUCCACUCGGGGAUACCAAAACUGCCCCAACUCCAUUACCCGUAGCAUUCGAAGCUCCAUCAAAAUUUAACUUCCAUACGUGAUCCAUUUGAGGGUUUUCUUCAGUAUUCGCCACAUACAUCAAGCCCUCGUUUGGAAAAUCGAAAUUCAAAGAUUCAUAGUCCUCCAAGGCUCUACUAGCUAGGAAAUCGGCUAUUGCACUUCCCUUUAUGGCCUUCUGACUGACAUAUACUAUAUCAAAUUCUGAGAGCAAGAUCUGCCAUCUAGCCAUUCUCCCGUUCAAAGCAGUUGAUUCCAUCAUAUAUUUUAGAGGAUCUAACUUUGAAAUCAGCCAAGUCGUGUGAUACAACAUAUACUGCCUCAGUCUUCGGGUUGCCCAGAUUAGAGCACAACACAACUUCUCAAUUGAUGGGUACCUCAUCUCACAAUCGGUAAAUUUCUUACUGAGAUAGUAUAUUGCCCUUUCUUUCUUUCUCGUCUCAUCAUGUUGGCCCAAUACGCAUCCCAUGGAAUUCUCCAACACUGUUAGAUACAAUAUCAACGGCCUAUCUGGACUUGGAGGUGAUAAGACUGGAGUAUUAGCCAAGUACUGUUUUAUCUUAUCGAAAGCUCUCUGACACUCUUCAUCCCAUUCGCCCGGGUUAUGUUUCUUUAAGAGCCGGAAUACUGGAUCACAUUUCUCUGUCAGUUGUGAGAUGAACCGAGCGAUGUAAUUCAGCCUCCCUAGGAAACCUCGAACCUCCCUCUGAGUGCGCGGGGGAGGUAAAUCUCGUAUUGCCUUUACUUUGUCUGGGUCAACCUCGAUCCCCUUUUUGCUAACUAUGAAGCCUAAUAACUUCCCUGAUCUGGCUCCGAACGUGCAUUUGGCCGGGUUAAGCUUGAGCUGAAAUUUCUUUAAUCUCAAAAAUAACCUUUUCAAGACCUGAACAUGCUCUUCUUCCGUUCUAGACUUCGCGAUCAUAUCGUCAACAUAGACUUCGAUCUCCUUGUGCAUCAUGUCGUGAAACAAAGUCACCAUAGCUCUUUGAUACGUUGCUCCCGCAUUCUUCAAUCCGAAGGGCAUUACCUUGUAACAGAACGUUCCCCAUAAGGUAAUGAAUGUGGUUUUCCUCAUGUCUCCGGGAUGCAUCUUUAUUUGAUUGUAUCCAGAGAAACCGUCCAUGAAAGAAAACAAUGAAUGGCCCGCCGUGUUAUCUACCAAAGUAUCAAUGUGAGGUAGUGGAAAGUUGUCCUUUGGACUAGCCUUGUUUAAAUCCCUAUAAUCCACACACAUUCGUACCUUUCCAUCUUUUUUGGGAACAGGGACGAUGUUGGCUACCCAAUCCGAAUACUUGACCUCUUGUAAGAAACCAGCGUCGAAUUGUCUUUUGACUUCCUCUCUUAUUUUCAACACAAUGUCAGGUCUCAUUCUCCUAAGCUUCUGUUGAACGGGUUUACAAUCCUCCUUUAUGGGCAGACGAUGUACCACAAUGUUAGUAUUUAGCCCAGGCAUAUCUUGGUACGACCACGCGAAAACAUCCUUGAACUCUCGGAGCAAAUUGAUGAGGUCUUGCCUUGUCUUUGCGGUAAUUUCAGUUCCAAUUUUCACCUCCUUUCCAUCCUCUAGGCUCACUAUUUCUAACGAUUCCCUAUGAGGUAGGAUAUGCUUAUCCUCUUGUUCCAUCAUUCUUAACAAGACCGGAGAUGCAUCAUAAUCUUCGUCAUUUUCAAAGUCGUGGGAUCCCUCUGAACACACUUCUUGCUCAAAAAUAGGCUCCGCGUUUGAGACAGCAUCACUCAUGUCAUUGAUAUCUGAAGACCUAUGUGGGCAGAUCAAAUAAUAUACCAAGAAUAUAAAUUUAUGAAUAUGUUUGCAAAAGAAUCACAAAUGAAAGAAUUAUUUGUAAGACUAUCAACCAAUAUGAAAAAUAUGAAAGGAAAAAAAAAAAAGUGACUGAUCGAGAUGAACGUAGACACGUAUUUUAUUAAAAUAAUGAUAUUUAGGCCCAAUGCCUAUUUCACAAAAAAUUUCGUAUCGUUUCUAGGCCAACAAACAACAGGAAUGUUUUGAGCAUUACUCUGAAUAAGCCCUAAAGACUACAGGGAUUUCUUCAGCAGUCCAAUUGUUUAGCUCGCUUCCAGGCUCAUAAGGGCGAAUCUCCAACAAAGCCCUCCUUUCCGUUGCUUCUAUGGUGUUAAUAUAAACGUUUUCCAACAUUCCUCCCAUGCCGCUACCGGAUACCCCACAUUCAGAAUGAAUAAAUCCUCCCGACACAAAAGAUGAAGAUAUGUGGGGAAAGGUUAAAGGCUCACACUUAGCUUCAUGUCCAUUCAAACGCGCCCUUCUUCUCGCUUGUCUCUUCUCUACUUCUUUCUUCUUCUGCUUCAUGUCUGGCUUGUACCCUAAACCAAAUCUAUCAAAUUUUUCCCUCGGCAUUGGUGCCUCAAUCCUCCCCUGAAGGUAUUUUCCCAAUCCUUUCCCGGGUAAGGCUCCUCUUCCUACCAUCAAUCGCAAUCCCAUCUCAGUGGUCCUGGACACUUUCGGUACUGGAAUCCUAUUUCCCUCCGCAAUAAACAUCGCGUUCACAAAUUCUAACGACCGAAAAGAACAUUCCAGUGCCUCAUCGUUGAUGUCCACAUAAGGUGCCUCGCUAGUCAUCAUUGCGAUAAUAUCCUCCUCUGCAUCUAUUGUUACCAACCGAUCCUCCGAUACCAACUUCACCUUCUGAUGUAAUGAUGAAGGUACCGCCCCUGCUGAGUGUAUCCACGGUCUCCCCAAUAGACAGUUGUAGGAGGGUUUAAUAUCCAUUACCAAGAAAUCCACCUCAUAAGUGACUGGGCCAAUCCUUAAUGGUACUUCAAUUCUCCCCAUAACCUCCUUUUUUGUUCCAUCAAAUGCCCUUACUAUGCUCUGGCAUGCUUUCAUGUGCGAACUGUCUAUUGGUAAUCGACUAAGAGUGGACAAAGGCAAUACAUUUAGUGCAGAUCCAUUAUCGACCAAGGCCCCCGGGAGUGUGUACCCUUUGCAUCGGACAGUAACGUGGAGGGCUUUAGUAGAACCUCUUCCUCCGGAUGGUAUUUCAUCAUCAUUGAAGAAGAUAAAAUUGUCAGCACCAAUAUUGUUGAUCAACCGAUCCAACUUGUUUACUGAAAUAUCGUCAGCCACAUAUGUUUCGUUUAGCACCUUUAAGAGUGCAUUCCGAUGUACUUCUGAGUUUAAGAGUAAAGCUAAUACCGAAAUGCGGGCUGGCUGUUUGUGCAGUUGCUCCACAACACUGUAUUCGCUGUGUUUCAAAAACUUCAAAAACUCCUUCGCCUCUUCUUCUUUUAUUGGUUCAUUUACCAAUGGUUCAACUUCUACUGCCUUCCCUUUCCUCUGUUCUUUCUUCCAAUUCUCUUCCCUGGACGACUCUGCUUGAGCGUCAUAUCUUUUUCCUUUGCGCGUGUAAAAAACUGUUUCCUGAUUUCUUUCUGCUUCUUUUCCCAAAAUGGUCACAUUACACCCGUAAUUCCACGGCACCAUUUUGUUAUCUUUAUAAGAGAAAUUUGAUGGUUUCUGGAUUACAAUUUUCGGCGUUACCUGAGCCCUAACCUCAUUACCCUUAGGGCGGGAGAUAAUGACCACGGGAUGAUUUAUUUUUGGAGCCUUUGUUCCCAACUCUGUUGCGCAUAUGCUCCUCAUUUCUUUCACAUCUUCAUAAAACCUCAUCUCCUUGUUAUCCAUCAUGCUUUGAACCAAGGCCUUGAAUCCUUCACAUUCUUGGAUUUCAUGCCCUGUUUCAUGGUGAAAUUCACAAUAAUUUCCCAUCUCAUGCCCUUUCUCAGAAUCUGAAAUAAUCAAACCUCUUUUCGCCAUUUCUUUCCAGACCCAUUUCAAUGGAGUUUUUACUUCAGCAAUGUCAGUCUUGACUUCUUCUCCCGUACCUUCGCUAACCAUAUUCACCCCCUUAUCUGCGUGAUUAGGUAACGGAUUCUUUGCGUUAGGUGAGUCGUCAAGUUUGACAACACCUAAAUUGAUAAGUCCUUCUACUACCUUCUUGAAGGCAGUACAAUUUUCUAUCGAGUGCCCAGAAAUUCCCGCAUGAUAAUCACAUUGCGCGUUCGUAUCAUACCAUUUUGGAUACGGGGGUUGUAGAGGACUCAGGUAACGAGGAGCAACAACAUGUGCAUCGAAUAAAGUCUGAUACAACUCCUUGUAUGACAUCGGGAUUGGCGUGAAUUGGGGCUUUUCAGUAGUUUGCCUAGCUCCUGACUCUUGUCUUGAUGAUCCCUGUUGAUUAGCAACCACUUUCUUUGGUUGAUUCACGGUAAUUGACCUACCAUAAGCAUUCACAUUAUUCACUUCAUUUUCUCUUUUCCUCGGGGGUGCCCUCCUAUUAUUUUCUCCUCCAUCUAUUUUUCCACUUUUAAUGGCAUGCUCAAUCAUUUCACCAUUCAUGAUUAUAUCUGAGAAAUUUCUUGAAGCGCUUCCCAACAUGUGAGUGAUGAACGGGGCUUUCAAAGUAUUAAUAAAAAGCGUCGUCAUCUCUUUUUCCAAAAGCGGUGGUUGCACCUGAACCGCCACCUCUCGCCACCUCUGCGCAUAUUGUCUGAAGCUUUCGUUUGAUUUCUUCUCUAAAUUUUGCAGAGUUAUCCUGUCAGGCAUCAUUUCUGAGACAUGAUUGUAUUGUCUCAAGAAAGCCUGUGCUAAAUCCCUCCAAGUAGCAAUUUUAGCUCGGCUCAGCUGAUUGUACCACUUUGACGCCGCUCCCGUAAGACUUUCCUGAAAGCAAUGUAUUAAUAAUUGAUCAUUAUUAAUAUGCCCCGUCAUUCUUCUACAAAACAUAGUAAUAUGGGAUCCUGGGCAACUAGUCCCGUUGUAUUUCUCGAAUUCCGGCAUCUUAAAUUUGUAAGGGAGCACCAAGUCCGGAACCAAGCUCAGAUCCUUUGCAUCUGUUCCAUAGCUUUCGAUGCUUUCUAUUGCCCUAAACUUCUCUUCUAUCCAUUUCCAUUUCUCCUCAAAUUGUUUUGGAAAUUCCUCCUUCGCCUUGUCCUUUUCAACCAUCUCGUCAAGAUCUGGGACCGCAAUAUUAUUCGGGCUAUCACCGGGAUUAAAGCCCGCUCCGGGUUGAAAAUUCAUUGGGAUUGAAGCAUCGCCUUGGAACUGCUGGGGUCUAACUGACACAGAGGGUCUCCGCGAAUGCAGCUCAGUCUGUACAUGUGGAGGCGUGAAACCUGGAGGAUAGAGUGGUUCACCAUUGUUUUCUUCUUCACUAACAAUCACAGGCCCUUUACCCUUAUCUACUCCCUUCAAUAAUUGCGUCAUCUUAGCCACCAGAUCAUUUUGAGACUCCUCCAUCUUUUGUACCAUGUCACGCUGAAUCUUUUCUAUUUGCUCUUUCAUUUGCGCCUGCAACUGGUCUUGCAUUUCUCUUUGAAGUCGCUCUAGCUUCUCUAACCUUUGGUCCAUAAUUUUUGUCUUUGCUCGGGUGCCGUAACUUUGUUGGUUUUCCAGGUUAACUGAAAUGAUUUUAUUCGAUUAGGUUUUUUUAAUGGUCAUUAAUGCAUAUGAUGUGAUGCAAUGCAUGAAAGAGAAUGCAAAGAAAAAGAGGCACUGAUUUUAAUUCAACUUCAUUAGAAAACUUUACUAGAUAAAGAGUUUCUUUACAUAAAAUAGACUACAUAUAUGGCUUUGCCCUCACACUCAAAGCCUUAACCUUUCUAAGAAGCCAAGCUAAUUCUCGGCCCCUGUCCGACUCUGACUCAUACUUCAAACUUAAUAGAUCAGCCUGAACCGCUAGAGUUUGCAGAUGAUCAGCCACUUCGCGCACCUGAGUCACCGCCUCUCCCAUAAUAUAAUCUCUUUCUCCAAUCUGCUCUUGAGACCGACGGAAUUGUCCUUGCCACUGCUCAUUGCUUUCUUCUAGAAGCUCUAUCCGGAUUUCACUAUUUUGCAAUGCAUUCUCUAGCCCUCCUAUCUGUGUUUUUAAUUCUUCAAUUUUGUCUAAGCUCGCCCUUAAUUCAACCGUAGUAUUACGAUUACAGUACUGGCGAAGCGAUCUUUCCAGUUCUGUUAUCCGGACCUUCAACUCCGUCUUCUCGUCUUGGCAAACUAGUAGACUCUUUCCUAAGGCGGCUUCUCGAGCCCGAGCAUCCUGAAAUUUCUUUUCCCAUUGAUUAGCUUUCGUCUUUUCCUCCUGAAUUUCUUGUCGCCAUUGUUCUGGUGUUUUACCCAAGCCAGCGGCUCUUACUGACUUACGCAACUUCUUGUAAUCUGUCUUCAGGCUGUCCAAAUCUUCUUCUGCCUUGUUCUUUCCUUUCCUCAAUUUGUUGGCCUCUAAUCUUUGAAUAUCCACAUCCAGUCCUAACUGCAUUUUUUCUUCCUCAAGUUGUUCUAUCUUCUUCCCCAAUUCUAAACUUCUUUUUUCGAAUUCUUGUUUGAUGAUUUCUAUCUCAGAAGGCAAGACUUGUAAGUGUUCCUCUAAAGAUCGAGCCGUUUCUGAAUUUGACGCCGGGAUGUUGUCGUUGAUCCUUUGAUUACGCCACUGACCAUACUCGGGGGUAAUUGUCGGACCCACAGCUAAGAUCUUCAUUCGACGAGUCUGGUUCCAGGCACUAGAUAUUUCUCGAACCUUCUUCUUGUAAUUGUUCUCCCUAUAGGAAAAAUCACUAUAAGCCAACCCCUGGGUUGCUGGUAUGAAUUGUCGUGAUCUAUACUGUCUUGACACGAGUAGAGGAGCAUAUCCAAUAGCCCCCCAUAUCCCGAGCAACGGAACCCAGUCAAAAUCUCCACAUCGGUACAAUAUCUCAUCAGGAAUUAACCAAGGAGCCCUCCAUUCAAUAUCUUCAUCUUGGAGAUUCUGGAGUAUCUCUAUCCAUUUUUCUUCUGAAAUAUCAUCCCGUCUUGGUGUGGCCACCAAUUCUCCUAGAGGGGAGUAGCUAUCGGAGAAUACCCGGUAAGAGACCUUUUCGACUUUCCAGAAGUGGCUAUGGAACCAUGCCAAUAAGAGCUGCGCGCAUCCAAUAAACCUUCCCUCCCCUGCUUUUCGACACGCAUUCAAAGAUCUAAAAGUUUCAGCGAGUAUUGCCGGAACCGGUGUAACCCCUUUACCAAGCCGAUCGAACAAAUCAGAUACAGCCUCGUCUAUGUGUCCUAAAGCUUUGGGGAAAACCACUAGUCCAUAGAUACCCAAAGCGAAGACAUCGACCCUUUUCUUUAAGUCAGGAUGUACAAGCACCAAAUCUCGCAAACUUUUCCAAGGAACACAUUUACUGUCGCCCUUCUGUUGGAUCCGGGCAGCGACCCACUGCUCGCUCAUUCCAGUGAUGUUCAUUAAUUUCUUUAACAACGGAGGGACACAAGCAGCUCUGGAAUAAGCCUUGUCGACUUGAAUCUUUGGGCACCGAAGUAAGGUCGUAUACUCCUCUACCGUAGGCGUCAAAUCUACCUUCCCAAAAGUGAAACAACUGUAGGCAGGAUUCCAAAACUGAGCAAGGGCUCGGAAUAAAUACUUGUCCACUUUGACACUAAGCAGAUAAGGUAGGUCACCAUAGUUACAAUAGAACAGCUCCUUGGCCUCGACAUCCCAUUGAUCCCAGACUUCUUUCAUUUCUCGAAGGUCAUUCUGGAUUACACUGAUACGGGUAAAAUCCCACAAUUCUGACACGUACCCUUCGGUAAGACUAUCGCCUUUCUCCCGUUGCGUAGUUUCAGCCCAUAUUCGCACAGCCGCAUUAUCCUCUACUUUAUCAACAAACCCCUUUUCCAUGAUAAGCUUUCUACCAAGAAACUGAACGUAAAUCAACACCUCUUUUAGAAUGAAGAUGCCAUGCAAUCACAAACAAAGUAAAUUAGCAUUAAACACAGAAUAAGAUUUAAAAUAAACGAUAAAUAAAUACAACAUUCAUUUAAGUAAGCACUAAAAAUUUAGAGUAACUCUACCUAGGUCGGUUCCUAUGGCUCAUUACAUGUGGUUUGGUUCUAAAGUAGGGUACCUGAACCAGCAAAUUCCUCGAUCCUCACCCAUUAUAGGCUCAUACGGACCAAGUUCGAUUCAGGGGGAUACAUUUCCCUAUGGCCAUGCGGAGAUGAAAAUCUCACGAAGACAUAGGUACAGAUAUAUCCCGAAAGCGAUUCACUAUCCCAUGCGGAGGUGAAAACCUCACGAAGGCGUAGCUUCUCACUCCCACUUAAAAGGUGUGACCAACGGUCAUGCAAUGCAAUGCGCAGAGGUAUAAAAUAAAAUACAGAACACGACCAAAAUAUAACUCAAAACAAAAGAGAUGCAGUGAGAGGAUCGUAAAUUUCAAUCGAAUUUUCAACUUUCGACAAAAAGACAAGAAAUAAUCAACACGUGGCUUGACUCUCUUAUGGUUUCCCCAGUGGAGUCGCCAAGCUGUUGACGCCAUUUUUUGGAUGAAAACGGGGUCGACUUGGGUUUUGAAAAAUGAAAACGAAAGUGGGAGUCGCCACCAAUCUUUUUUGAUGAGGUGUGAUUGGGUCACCUUUAAAAGCGGUUGUUUUUAAUAAAUAAUUUAAUUUUAUUAAAACAACGAGUUUGGUCUACAAAAAUUCAGAAAACGGGUUCGGGAGUCGGUUACGUACGAGGAAGGAUUAGUAUCCUCGAAACGCCCAAAAUUGGUACCUAGUUGAUUAGUUAAUGUCUUAAUGUCGAAAAUUGAAAACUUUGAAGAAUUUUAAAAAUACGAUCAUUGUAUUAAAACGUUGAAAAUUUUUAAGAAACAAGGGGAUAUUUCACAUUAUUCGAGAAAGAGAAUCAUAUCCAGUAAGUUAGGACACAAUGUCUCGAAUUCCCGAUACGCGAAUAAAAAAUGCUUAUUUAAAAGAUAUUUAAUUAUCUUGGAUUUAAAAAGGAAUCACGACCAGUAAGUUAGGACACGAUCUUUUUUAAUUCCCGAUAUUGUUUAAAACUUGAGUUUAAAAAGAUUCGUGUAAUAAAGUUUAAAAGAAUAUUCAAUUGUUUAAAUCAAAUGAAGAAAUCGCAACCCAAUACGUUAGGGCACAAUUUCUCAAAAUAUUAAACAUUGAAUAUUGCAUUUAUUUCGAAAAAUCCUUGUCUCGAAAAAACAACGUGUCACAUCUAAUGCGUUAGGACACAACGUAUUGAAUUCUCGAUAACGAACAUUUUAUUUAUGUUUUUUAUAAAAGACUAAUCUCAAUUAUUUAAAAUCAACGAAGAAAAUCGAAACCCAAUACGUUAGGGCUCGAUUCUCUUGAAGAUCCAAAAUACUGAAUAUUACUUAUGUUUUUAAAAUUUCUUUUUUGAAAUCUAAAAAAAAUGGGUGUAAUGAAAUGAUGAUGAUAAUGUAAGUAAAAUAAUCACGAGCAAAACAAAAUAUAAAUAAGUAAUGAGACUAAUAUAUAAAAAAUAUCAAACAGACAAACUUAAGCAAGAUAAAAUAACAAUAGCAGACAUAUACAUGAAGAAAUAAAUAAAGAUAUAUAUAUAUGAAUUACAAAACAUGAAAAUAUAAGUAUUUACAUAUAUAAAUAGAUUUAAAAAUAUAAAAUAUAAACAUGUACAUUAUAAGAACGUAGGUAUGUACAUAAAUAUAAAAAAAAUUCUAAGAUAAAACAAUGUGCAUAUAUACAUAUUUAUACAGAUUAAAAAAACAUAUAUUAUAAAAACUUAUUCACAUAUAUAUAUUUGAAAUUGUAAAAAUAAUAAAUGUAUGUAUAAAUAUAUAUAAAACAUGGGAUGUACGUACGUAUGUAUACUAAAAUAAUUGCAUGUAUGUAUAUGCAUAUAACAUAAUUUAAAGUAAAAAGGUAUUUAAUAAUAUUAAUAAUAAUGCUAAAUAAUAAUUAUAAUAGUUUUAAUAAUAAUAUAUAAUAAUAAAAAAUAGCACAUAUUAAAAUAACGUACACAUAUAUACAUAAAGAUAAAUGAAAAUAAAAAUAAAACAAAAAUUAAUAGUUAAAAAAAUGAAAGGGAUUAAAUCAAAAUCAAAAAUAAAAUUAAGGGCUCAAAUUACAAAUAAGAAAAGUAAUUAAAACACGCUGCAAAAGAAUGAGGACCAAACAUGAAAUACUCCCACAUCACUGAAACGGUGCCGUUCUAGGGGAAUACUAGCGCAUGGUCUAGGGACCAAAUUGAAACAGAAGCAAAAUUAUGUGGCCAAAAUUAAAUUUAAACAAAAGGCAGCAUUGAAUGCACCGCAAGAUUAGAGGGACCAAAGGCACAAAUUACCCAUUAGGGCAAGAGUGCGCAGGUUUUCCCUCUUUCAAACGGCGCCGCUUUAAUCAACAUAAAAGCUAAAAAAUUUACAUUUUUCUGCAGUUUCAUUUUGCUGCAAAGAACACAAAAAAUAAAAUAAAGGGAAAAUCCCUUUUCUCUGCUAGGGUUCCAAGGCUAGGAACCCCACCGCCAUCACGCCUCCUCACUGCCCAAUGGCCGGAGCCAUGCGAGGGCGUCUCCCACCAGCGCGUUGGAGCGCGCUUAGAGACCAAGGCUCUGAAACAGGGAAACGAGGAUAAAACGGAAGGCCUCUGCCCCUUCCUUAACCCGCGUUCGGCUACGGCAAAGAGCCGAUGACGACGCCGAAUUUAGGGGCCGAUGCAGGUGAGUUUAGUCUUCCCAUUUUCCUUUUUCUUUUACGUUAUUAUAAGUUUUUGUUUAAGAAGAAUAAAAAUAAGACUUAUAAAAAUAGAAAUGAUAACGAUAAGUAAAAAAAACUAAGCGGAAAUGGUGAUGCUCAACCUUUGGAACUCUCUUGUUUUUUUGCUUUUGAUUUCUCAAAUGUUUCUCCAAAAAAAAGGCCCUUACAAAACGUUCGGUCCCUGGCUUUAUGGCCAUUUUUACAUUAUUUUUAUCAUAUCUUUUUGGUUGCAGAUGUUUCCUUUCUGUCAUUGCAGGCGCAAGUGGCAUGGGAGCGGCAGAGCAGGUGGAGCAGGUGAGCAGCGAUGGGACGUGCGGCGGCCAGCAAGUGGACGACCCUAGGUGCGGCGCACCUAGGGUUAAGGUUUCCUACUUUUUUUGUCUGAUUAAUGUUUUGGGCUAUUUGGGCUGUGGGUUAGUUUGGGCUGUUAAUUUGGUUUUGUUUAGGGUCUGUUUUGGUUAGGGUAAUGGGCCCGGGCAUGAAAAUUGGGCUUGUACAGUUAUUAUUAUAUUUUUAUGGUCUACAAUUUCACGGAAAAUUUUUGUAAAAAUUUCGUUCGAAAAUUUCGACGUUUGGGCACUCAAUUUAGUCAAAAGGACUAAAUUGUAAAUAGUGCAAAAAUUGAGUUCUACAUCUUAGAGGGUCUAAUUGUUAUGAAAUUUUAAAUUGGAGGUCUUUAUGUAGUAAUUAUACCAUUAGUUAGUUGAUGGACAAAAAAUAUACAUAAGAAAUGGGUGAAAUAGAUUUUUUUUAAAUGGGGCAUUUUAGUCAUUUGGUUAUUAAAUAGAAUUAAAUGGGAAAAAGAUGGCAAAAUAUGCUCAUCUUCUUCAUGGUGAAUGAAAUCAGCAAGGGGGAAACCAUAUUUAGGGUUUUUAAGCUUUCAAGCUCCGUAGUAAGUGAUUCCAAGCCCCGUUUUUAACGUUAUUUACGUUUUUGGAAUCCCGGUAACUUGGUUUAGCUUAUUCUACCAUUAAUUCGUGUUAGGAUUCAUAUUUGGAAAAAUACCCAUAGGUGAACUGUGUUUAUUUUGCUGUUUUAUGGUGGACUAUGAAGCUAGAGAUUAUGUUAAACAACUUUUGCUAAGCAAUUUUAAGCGAAAACGGGUAAAUAGACAUAAUCGGUGAAAAUAGUUAAUGUUCAAAAGUAUGUGUUAGAGUGGGAAUUUGAUGUUGCCCAUAGAAGGGAAAAAUGUUCAGAAUGUCAUAAAACCUAAGAAUAAGUGAUGAAGUUUAAUUUCCGAGCUUGGGGACAAAAAUGUAAUUAUGCAAAAGUUUGGGGGCAAAAUUGUAAUUUUUCAAAAAGUUGAGUGGUGGAUUAUUUUAAUAAAUGUGGACUUUAAACGAGUUAAUUUGCUAUUAUAGAUCAAGAAAGAUGUGAAGAGUAUAUCAAACGAGGAAAAGAAAAGAUAGUGGAAGUAAAGUGCAAAAUUACGAUAUUUUGCACCGAGGUAAGUAAACACGUGACUUAAUGUAUUAUUUUGAUAUUAUUUGACAUGUGUUGAGAUUUAUUUGAAAUUAAAAUAAGUGUUUGGUAAGAUUCCAAAAAUGUUGUUAAAUCGGGAAAGGUGUGGUAAGGGUUGCAAAAUACGGUUUUUGGUUGAACACUCGGAAUAGGCCGGAGCAUAUUGCAUAUAAAGGGUUGCUGUGUGCUGAUUCCCCUAUUCAUUGGUGGUUGCUAAGUGCUGAUUCCACCGUAUUUUAAAUGUGAAAGGAGGUUGCUAAGUGCUGAUUCCCCCGAGGGGUUGCUAAGUGCUGAUUCCCCUACCUAUUAGUGGUUGCUAAGUGCUGAUUUCCACCGUAUUUUAAAUGUGAAAGGGGGUUGCUAAAUGCUGAUUCCCCCGAGGGGUUGCUAAGUGCUGAUUCCCCGACCCAUUUGGUGGUUGCUAAGUGCUGAUUCCACCGCAUCUGAAAUGUGAAGGGGGUUGCUAAGUGCUGAUUCCACCGCAUCUGAAAUGUGAAGGGGGUUGCUAAGUGCGGAUUCCCCAAGGGGUUUGCUGUUUGCUGAUUCCCCGAUUCAUUGGUGGUGCUAAGUGCGGAAUCCACCAACAACGAUUAACAUUCCGAGUGUUCAACGAGUAAAUUGAGAAGGUGAAUAUUCAUAUAUGUGAUGGACGAGUUUAUGGGAGGAAUAUCGGGUUUGAUACUUAAUCAACCCAUGUAUAAGAUGAGAGGAAAAAUAAAAAAAUACAAAAGAAACAAUUUGAAUGCAAAACUGUUUUUGAAUGGCAGCAGUGGGCAACUUUGAAAAAUCACCAUAAAUGGUGAAAAAUUAAUUGGAGGUUGAAUAAAAAUAUGAAAUUGAAGCUGAAUGAGUCUAUUUUUCAAUAUGAAAGAAGUGGGAAAAGCAAAGGAAUUAUAUAUUUGGGGAUAUUUAAAUUUUACUGAGACAGGGUUGGAUUGAAUUCGAAAUCCCCCUGUUCCAAAUUUGGAAAAUCACCAAAAAUUCUAAAAAAAAUAAUUAUGGCUNNNNNNNNNNNNNNNNNNNNNNNNNNNNNNNNNNNNNNNNNNNNNNNNNNNNNNNNNNNNNNNNNNNNNNNNNNNNNNNNNNNNNNNNNNNNNNNNNNNNNNNNNNNNNNNNNNNNNNNNNNNNNNNNNNNNNNNNNNNNNNNNNNNNNNNNNNNNNNNNNNNNNNNNNNNNNNNNNNNNNNNNNNNNNNNNNNNNNNNNNNNNNNNNNNNNNNNNNNNNNNNNNNNNNNNNNNNNNNNNNNNNNNNNNNNNNNNNNNNNNNNNNNNNNNNNNNNNNNNNNNNNNNNNNNNNNNNNNNNNNNNNNNNNNNNNNNNNNNNNNNNNNNNNNNNNNNNNNNNNNNNNNNNNNNNNNNNNNNNNNNNNNNNNNNNNNNNNNNNNNNNNNNNNNNNNNNNNNNNNNNNNNNNNNNNNNNNNNNNNNNNNNNNNNNNNNNNNNNNNNNNNNNNNNNNNNNNNNNNNNNNNNNNNNNNNNNNNNNNNNNNNNNNNNNNNNNNNNNNNUAUACGAAAAUAUGAUUUUGUAUGUAUAUAUUAAAUAAGUUAAAAGAAUACAUAUAUAUGUACGUAUAUACGCAAUUUUAUAAUAAUAUAAUAUAUCACCUAUUAUCUAAGAUUAUAUAAGUAAAUAUAGGUAUAAAUAUAAUGAUAGUAAUAAUAAUAGUAGUAAUAAUACUAACAAUAAUAGUAAGAUAAUAAUAGUAAAUAAUAAUAAUAAUAAUAAUAAUAAUAAUAAUAAUAAUAAAAUACAAAAUAAUAAAGCGACUAAAGAAAGGGCAAAUCGAAAUAAAAAAGAAAAUACUGGGCGAAUUUGGAAUAAAAGGACGAAAAGGACCAAAAUGUGACUCGCGCGAAAGGACGGAGGGCCAAAACGGAAAAUAUCCCAAUUAUUAGGACACGUGUCCAUUCUAUGAGUGCAAGAUUAAAUCAAAAACGCUAAAAUAAUUUGGGCGAAAUUAAAAAUCUAAAAAAUGUAAAUAGGACUAGAUUGAAACACCCCAAAAGGGCGGAAGGGCCAAAUGGGUAAAUAACCCAAUCAUCAAAAACGCGGAUCCUGAGACGUGGGUCGGGUCGCGCGCGCGGGGUUUUCCUACCAAAACGGCGCCGUUUCGUCAGGGGUAUUUAAACCCAUUGUUUCCAAAAAAUUCAUUUCAGAUCCCCUAAAUUUAACAAAAAAAAUCUAAAACCCCUAUUUCCUCUCAAGGUCCGACCUUUGGGACUCUAAGGCCCCCUUGUUGCGCCGCUGCUCUGUUCGUCGCAUGGCCACCGCCUCCGACGACGACGAACACUAGAUCGGCGAGGGAAACCCCGUCUCGGUGAGUUCUCCUCUCUUCUCUUUAUGUUGUUAUAUAUAUAUUAUAUGUAUAUAAAUAAAAGGCAAAAAAAAAAAUAAAGAAAAAAAAUCAAAGUAUGCAAAAACGAAAAUAAAAAGUCAGCAAUCACCUUCAAAUCUUGUUUUUUUUUUGUUAUUUCUGAAAGUGUUAGUAAAAGAGAGGAAGCCCCGUUACAUUUCUUUGUGUCCUUAUAUAGCCGAUUACAAUACAUAUUUAUCUAUUUCUAUUAUUUUGCACUGUUUUUGCCUCUGCUUUGCGUAUUGUCCUUGCAGGUAAUUGAUGGGAGUAGUUGGUGGCAGAGAGCUGGUGGGUCGGUGGCAGGUGGCAGAAGCUAGAGCGGCGGUGGACAUUAGGAGCCCCUAGGGACGUGCGGCGCUUAGCUAGGGUUUCAGCAAAGCUGAAACCCUAGUUUGACCUUUGUUGGGCCUUGCUGUAAUGGGCUUGUUUGGAUUUGGGCUUGUUUUAUUUGGGUUUGGCAUUUGGGCUUGUAAUGGGGCGUUUGGGGUAGAUUUAGUUUGGGUUUAAUUAAUUUGAUUUUUGGGUCUCUGCUUGUUGGGCCCAGGCAUAAAUUGGGCUAGACAGCUGCCCCUCUUUGCUCGUUGUCGUGUAACGAGAACAGAGCAAAGACUAAGAAAGACCAAUUUUGCCCGGUCUCGUCGAUUCUUGACUUCUCUUGACGCUUCUCUUCUUCAAGUAGUUUCAUUCCAAUCCAAUGUGUCGUGAUAUGACUUGUAACUUCAAUCCAUUCUGUUGUAACUUCAGAGAAUAUGACUUGUAACUUCAAUCUUCUGUUGUAACUUCAGGGGAGAUCGUUGUUUUCAAUCUAUUCCACUGCAUCUUCAGGGAAAUAAGACCUGAUGCGACCUACUCUGCUGUAACCUCAGAGAGAUAAGAUCCUUAUUUUAAUCCACUCCACUGUAACUUCAGGGAGAUAGGAUAGUGUCUUGAUCUGCUCCGCUGUAACUCAGGGGAUAAGAUCUUCUUCAUCUAUUCCACUGUAAUCUCAGGGAAAUAAGACCUGACCGAUCUACUCUGCUGUAACUUCAGAGAGAUAAGAUCCUUCAUUUUAAUCCGCUCCACUGUAAUCUCAGGGAGAUAGAUGGCUUCAAUCUGCUCCACUGUAACCUCAGGGAGAUAAGAUCUGAAAUUCUUUGGUCUGUUCCACUGUAAUCUCAGGGAGAUAAGAUGAUUGAUCUUCUCUACUGUAACUUCAGAGAGAUAAGAUCCUUUAAUCCGCUCCAUUGUAAUCUCAAGGAGAUAGGAUUACUAUCUUUGAUCUGCUCCGCUGUAAUCUCAGGAGAUAAGAUCUGUGCUCCGCUCAAAGGAGAUAAGAUCUGAAAUUCUUUGGUCCACUGUAAUCUCAGGGAGAUAAGACCUGUAUAUGAACCUAAUUAUGCCUAAUGAUUAGGAUGACAUGAUCAAAAUGAAACAAAUGCUCCUAACUAGACAUAUGUGUGAAUGGUGUUUGCAUGAAUGCAGAAUUUUAUUCCGAAAUGAUCUCGCUUAGGUUAUCACUACUAAGUUUAUCAAGGUUUUGUGACUGAUGUACUACAACGCCUUCUCGCUUGACUGAUUUUUUGAAGAAACAUUUAGCCAGACUGUCCCCGUUGUAAACCUCAAAGUUUAAAUCCACUGGGACCAAAAUUUGUACCAUCAUUCUCUCACAGUAAUCUAAGGGUAAAAUAUGUGGCUUUUCCUCUGUCCUCUUUUAUCACAAUUUGGGGAUAUAGGAUCUGAACCGUUUCUGGUUUCCUACACCAUUCUCAAGGUGUCAUACCAAAGUCUUAUGCGCAAGUGAAGGCUUUUCUCCGAGAAAACCUCUUCUAUUGCCUGAUGAUCAUUGCUGCUUGUUCAUUUAAGCUUUGUAAUAACAGACAGCUUGUCAUUUUGUUCAAUCAAUGUUUGACAACAAAAUCUGAAAGGAUAGUCUUUAACUUAGACUCUUCCUUCUAGAUAUUUUCACCCUUUAAACUUGGUAUUUUCUAAACAAUAGUCAUGUUUCAGGUCCCUAUAUUAUUUAGAAAUUUUCAGAGUAAUAUGCAAAACUUCUUUCCUGAAAGUUUUAUUAGUUUGUAAUCAUUAUUCCUAUGCAACAUGUUUGCAAAAAGAUCAUAACAAUGGAAAAGAAUAAAGCUAGUUCUGAUCAUAAACUCAAAUAAAACAUCAAAGAUGGCGAAAGAAAGGUAACAAAGAAGUGGAUUGAGAAUGUGCGUUUUCACAAAAGGAAAGGAAGAAAGAAAGAAAAAAAUGUAUUUUCAAGAAUACACAUAAGAACUAGGUGCCCCAGUUAUCGCCGCUUGAGUUUCUCUGUACAAAACUUUCCGAAAGACCCCUUCUGAGUUUGACAUGUGUUCAGGAGAUCUGCAAUACUCUGUCAAUGUUCCGAGACGUUGCAUAUCCUUCCUUAUUGGUAAAGCCAGAUCAUCAUAUGCCCCCUGAUCAAAAUUUGAUCCGCUCAAGUCCUGAUGUUCCAAUCCUGCCCAAUACUUGAGUCGCCCUUUUCGGGUUUUCGACUCAAGCCCUCUUUGGUCUCAAAGUGCCCCUUUAGGGUUUUCACCUUAGCCUCUCCAAAGUUUUUUUUUUUUUUUUUUUUUUUUUUUUUUUUUUAGGAAGCAAAGCGCCCUUUACGGGUUUUCACUUCGGUUCCCCUUUCUUUCAAGUGAAGUAUUUCUUGACAGAGUCUGCGUUUACAGGAUUUGGUAAACUUUUCGCCAUCCAUCUCGCAUAGGAUCAAAGCUCCACCGGAAAAGGCCUUCUUUACAACAUAAGGGCCUUCCCAAUUUGGCAUCCAUUUUCCUCUAAAAUCUUUUUGCAUAGGAAGAAUCUUUUUAGUACCAAGUCCCCUUCACGAAAUUCUCGGGGGCGAACCUUUUAUUAUAAGCUCGCAUCAUUCGUUUCUGGUACAUUUGCCAUGGUGAAUAGCUCUUAGCCUCUUUUCUUCUAUUAGGUUCAACUGAUCGUACCGAGAUUGGAUCCAAUCGGCUUCAUCCAACUGUAAGCUCAGAUAACACCCGUAGAGAAGGGAUUUCAACUUCAAUGGGUAAUACUGCCUCCAUUCCAUAAACCAGAGAAAAAGGCGUUGCCCCAGUAGAAGUUCUAACAGAUGUUCGAUAGGCAAGGAGAGCAAAUGAUAACUUCUCAUGCCAAUCCUUGUAGGUUUCAGUCAUUUUCCCCACAAUCCUUUUAAUGUUUUUAUUGGCUGCCUCCACUGCACCAUUCAUUUUGGGACGAUACGGCGAUGAGUUAUGAUGCUUAAUUUUAAAUUUGCUACAAACUUCAGCUAUUGUGCUAUUAUUCAAGUUCAUCGCGUUGUCGGAUAUGAUCCUCUCAGGCAUCCCAUAUCGACAAAUGAUCUCCUUCUUCAAGAAUUUGCUGACUACUGCUUUUGUGACAUUUGCAUAUGAAGCAGCCUCCACCCACUUGGUAAAGUAAUCAAUUACUACGAAGAUGAAGCGAUGCCCAUUAGAAGCCUUUGGUGAUAUUGGCCCAAUAACAUCCAUACCCCACAUGGAAAACGGCCAAGGAGAGGUCAUGACGUGAAGAGGUGAAGGAGGCGCGUGUAUUUUGUCUCCGUAAAUUUGGCAUUUGUGGCACUUCCUGGCAUGAUCAAUGCAAUCUCCUUCCAUGGUGGGCCAAUAGUACCCAAAUCUCAUGAUCUGUUUGGCCAUCGUGAAACCACUGGCGUGCGUCCCACAAAUACCCUCAUGGACUUCUUCCAAAAUUUUCUUGGCUUCUACCGCAUCUACACAUCUUAACAGUACUUGAUCCUUCCUUCUUUUGUAUAACACUUCUCCAUCUAAGACAUAUUCAAUGGCUAUCUUUCUCAAAGUUCUUUUGUCAUUCUCUGUCGCUUGAUCAGGGUAUUCCCGAUUCUUCACAUAUUGUAAGAUACUCCGAUACCAAGGACAAUCAUCUUUUCCCUCCUCCUCAAUAUUGCAACAAUUAGCCGGGGUCUCAGAGAUACUCAUCUGAACAGGCCUCAUUGCCUCAAGUCUAUUCACCUGAAUCAUCGAAGCUAGAGUAGCUAAUGCAUCAGCCAUUUGGUUUUCCUCCCGUGGGAGGUAAUAGAAGGUGAUAUCGUCAAACUCCUCAGCCAAUUCAAGAACUAGUUUUCUAUAACCAAUUAGCUUAGGAUCUCUAGUCUCCCACUCCCCUUUGAGUUGGUAUAUCACCAACGCUGAAUCCCCGUAUACUCUCAGCACUUUGAUGUUCCGUUCAAUGGCUGCACGAAUGCCCAUAAUACAUGCUUCAUAUUCUGCCAUGUUAUUUGUACAAUCGAAGUCCAACUUGCUGGCUACAGGAUAAUGAUCUCCACUCGGGGAUACCAAAACUGCCCCAACUCCAUUACCCGUAGCAUUCGAAGCUCCAUCAAAAUUUAACUUCCAUACGUGAUCCAUUUGAGGGUUUUCUUCAGUAUUCGCCACAUACAUCAAGCCCUCGUUUGGAAAAUCGAAAUUCAAAGAUUCAUAGUCCUCCAAGGCUCUACUAGCUAGGAAAUCGGCUAUUGCACUUCCCUUUAUGGCCUUCUGACUGACAUAUACUAUAUCAAAUUCUGAGAGCAAGAUCUGCCAUCUAGCCAUUCUCCCGUUCAAAGCAGUUGAUUCCAUCAUAUAUUUUAGAGGAUCUAACUUUGAAAUCAGCCAAGUCGUGUGAUACAACAUAUACUGCCUCAGUCUUCGGGUUGCCCAGAUUAGAGCACAACACAACUUCUCAAUUGAUGGGUACCUCAUCUCACAAUCGGUAAAUUUCUUACUGAGAUAGUAUAUUGCCCUUUCUUUCUUUCUCGUCUCAUCAUGUUGGCCCAAUACGCAUCCCAUGGAAUUCUCCAACACUGUUAGAUACAAUAUCAACGGCCUAUCUGGACUUGGAGGUGAUAAGACUGGAGUAUUAGCCAAGUACUGUUUUAUCUUAUCGAAAGCUCUCUGACACUCUUCAUCCCAUUCGCCCGGGUUAUGUUUCUUUAAGAGCCGGAAUACUGGAUCACAUUUCUCUGUCAGUUGUGAGAUGAACCGAGCGAUGUAAUUCAGCCUCCCUAGGAAACCUCGAACCUCCCUCUGAGUGCGCGGGGGAGGUAAAUCUCGUAUUGCCUUUACUUUGUCUGGGUCAACCUCGAUCCCCUUUUUGCUAACUAUGAAGCCUAAUAACUUCCCUGAUCUGGCUCCGAACGUGCAUUUGGCCGGGUUAAGCUUGAGCUGAAAUUUCUUUAAUCUCAAAAAUAACCUUUUCAAGACCUGAACAUGCUCUUCUUCCGUUCUAGACUUCGCGAUCAUAUCGUCAACAUAGACUUCGAUCUCCUUGUGCAUCAUGUCGUGAAACAAAGUCACCAUAGCUCUUUGAUACGUUGCUCCCGCAUUCUUCAAUCCGAAGGGCAUUACCUUGUAACAGAACGUUCCCCAUAAGGUAAUGAAUGUGGUUUUCCUCAUGUCUCCGGGAUGCAUCUUUAUUUGAUUGUAUCCAGAGAAACCGUCCAUGAAAGAAAACAAUGAAUGGCCCGCCGUGUUAUCUACCAAAGUAUCAAUGUGAGGUAGUGGAAAGUUGUCCUUUGGACUAGCCUUGUUUAAAUCCCUAUAAUCCACACACAUUCGUACCUUUCCAUCUUUUUUGGGAACAGGGACGAUGUUGGCUACCCAAUCCGAAUACUUGACCUCUUGUAAGAAACCAGCGUCGAAUUGUCUUUUGACUUCCUCUCUUAUUUUCAACACAAUGUCAGGUCUCAUUCUCCUAAGCUUCUGUUGAACGGGUUUACAAUCCUCCUUUAUGGGCAGACGAUGUACCACAAUGUUAGUAUUUAGCCCAGGCAUAUCUUGGUACGACCACGCGAAAACAUCCUUGAACUCUCGGAGCAAAUUGAUGAGGUCUUGCCUUGUCUUUGCGGUAAUUUCAGUUCCAAUUUUCACCUCCUUUCCAUCCUCUAGGCUCACUAUUUCUAACGAUUCCCUAUGAGGUAGGAUAUGCUUAUCCUCUUGUUCCAUCAUUCUUAACAAGACCGGAGAUGCAUCAUAAUCUUCGUCAUUUUCAAAGUCGUGGGAUCCCUCUGAACACACUUCUUGCUCAAAAAUAGGCUCCGCGUUUGAGACAGCAUCACUCAUGUCAUUGAUAUCUGAAGACCUAUGUGGGCAGAUCAAAUAAUAUACCAAGAAUAUAAAUUUAUGAAUAUGUUUGCAAAAGAAUCACAAAUGAAAGAAUUAUUUGUAAGACUAUCAACCAAUAUGAAAAAUAUGAAAGGAAAAAAAAAAAAGUGACUGAUCGAGAUGAACGUAGACACGUAUUUUAUUAAAAUAAUGAUAUUUAGGCCCAAUGCCUAUUUCACAAAAAAUUUCGUAUCGUUUCUAGGCCAACAAACAACAGGAAUGUUUUGAGCAUUACUCUGAAUAAGCCCUAAAGACUACAGGGAUUUCUUCAGCAGUCCAAUUGUUUAGCUCGCUUCCAGGCUCAUAAGGGCGAAUCUCCAACAAAGCCCUCCUUUCCGUUGCUUCUAUGGUGUUAAUAUAAACGUUUUCCAACAUUCCUCCCAUGCCGCUACCGGAUACCCCACAUUCAGAAUGAAUAAAUCCUCCCGACACAAAAGAUGAAGAUAUGUGGGGAAAGGUUAAAGGCUCACACUUAGCUUCAUGUCCAUUCAAACGCGCCCUUCUUCUCGCUUGUCUCUUCUCUACUUCUUUCUUCUUCUGCUUCAUGUCUGGCUUGUACCCUAAACCAAAUCUAUCAAAUUUUUCCCUCGGCAUUGGUGCCUCAAUCCUCCCCUGAAGGUAUUUUCCCAAUCCUUUCCCGGGUAAGGCUCCUCUUCCUACCAUCAAUCGCAAUCCCAUCUCAGUGGUCCUGGACACUUUCGGUACUGGAAUCCUAUUUCCCUCCGCAAUAAACAUCGCGUUCACAAAUUCUAACGACCGAAAAGAACAUUCCAGUGCCUCAUCGUUGAUGUCCACAUAAGGUGCCUCGCUAGUCAUCAUUGCGAUAAUAUCCUCCUCUGCAUCUAUUGUUACCAACCGAUCCUCCGAUACCAACUUCACCUUCUGAUGUAAUGAUGAAGGUACCGCCCCUGCUGAGUGUAUCCACGGUCUCCCCAAUAGACAGUUGUAGGAGGGUUUAAUAUCCAUUACCAAGAAAUCCACCUCAUAAGUGACUGGGCCAAUCCUUAAUGGUACUUCAAUUCUCCCCAUAACCUCCUUUUUUGUUCCAUCAAAUGCCCUUACUAUGCUCUGGCAUGCUUUCAUGUGCGAACUGUCUAUUGGUAAUCGACUAAGAGUGGACAAAGGCAAUACAUUUAGUGCAGAUCCAUUAUCGACCAAGGCCCCCGGGAGUGUGUACCCUUUGCAUCGGACAGUAACGUGGAGGGCUUUAGUAGAACCUCUUCCUCCGGAUGGUAUUUCAUCAUCAUUGAAGAAGAUAAAAUUGUCAGCACCAAUAUUGUUGAUCAACCGAUCCAACUUGUUUACUGAAAUAUCGUCAGCCACAUAUGUUUCGUUUAGCACCUUUAAGAGUGCAUUCCGAUGUACUUCUGAGUUUAAGAGUAAAGCUAAUACCGAAAUGCGGGCUGGCUGUUUGUGCAGUUGCUCCACAACACUGUAUUCGCUGUGUUUCAAAAACUUCAAAAACUCCUUCGCCUCUUCUUCUUUUAUUGGUUCAUUUACCAAUGGUUCAACUUCUACUGCCUUCCCUUUCCUCUGUUCUUUCUUCCAAUUCUCUUCCCUGGACGACUCUGCUUGAGCGUCAUAUCUUUUUCCUUUGCGCGUGUAAAAAACUGUUUCCUGAUUUCUUUCUGCUUCUUUUCCCAAAAUGGUCACAUUACACCCGUAAUUCCACGGCACCAUUUUGUUAUCUUUAUAAGAGAAAUUUGAUGGUUUCUGGAUUACAAUUUUCGGCGUUACCUGAGCCCUAACCUCAUUACCCUUAGGGCGGGAGAUAAUGACCACGGGAUGAUUUAUUUUUGGAGCCUUUGUUCCCAACUCUGUUGCGCAUAUGCUCCUCAUUUCUUUCACAUCUUCAUAAAACCUCAUCUCCUUGUUAUCCAUCAUGCUUUGAACCAAGGCCUUGAAUCCUUCACAUUCUUGGAUUUCAUGCCCUGUUUCAUGGUGAAAUUCACAAUAAUUUCCCAUCUCAUGCCCUUUCUCAGAAUCUGAAAUAAUCAAACCUCUUUUCGCCAUUUCUUUCCAGACCCAUUUCAAUGGAGUUUUUACUUCAGCAAUGUCAGUCUUGACUUCUUCUCCCGUACCUUCGCUAACCAUAUUCACCCCCUUAUCUGCGUGAUUAGGUAACGGAUUCUUUGCGUUAGGUGAGUCGUCAAGUUUGACAACACCUAAAUUGAUAAGUCCUUCUACUACCUUCUUGAAGGCAGUACAAUUUUCUAUCGAGUGCCCAGAAAUUCCCGCAUGAUAAUCACAUUGCGCGUUCGUAUCAUACCAUUUUGGAUACGGGGGUUGUAGAGGACUCAGGUAACGAGGAGCAACAACAUGUGCAUCGAAUAAAGUCUGAUACAACUCCUUGUAUGACAUCGGGAUUGGCGUGAAUUGGGGCUUUUCAGUAGUUUGCCUAGCUCCUGACUCUUGUCUUGAUGAUCCCUGUUGAUUAGCAACCACUUUCUUUGGUUGAUUCACGGUAAUUGACCUACCAUAAGCAUUCACAUUAUUCACUUCAUUUUCUCUUUUCCUCGGGGGUGCCCUCCUAUUAUUUUCUCCUCCAUCUAUUUUUCCACUUUUAAUGGCAUGCUCAAUCAUUUCACCAUUCAUGAUUAUAUCUGAGAAAUUUCUUGAAGCGCUUCCCAACAUGUGAGUGAUGAACGGGGCUUUCAAAGUAUUAAUAAAAAGCGUCGUCAUCUCUUUUUCCAAAAGCGGUGGUUGCACCUGAACCGCCACCUCUCGCCACCUCUGCGCAUAUUGUCUGAAGCUUUCGUUUGAUUUCUUCUCUAAAUUUUGCAGAGUUAUCCUGUCAGGCAUCAUUUCUGAGACAUGAUUGUAUUGUCUCAAGAAAGCCUGUGCUAAAUCCCUCCAAGUAGCAAUUUUAGCUCGGCUCAGCUGAUUGUACCACUUUGACGCCGCUCCCGUAAGACUUUCCUGAAAGCAAUGUAUUAAUAAUUGAUCAUUAUUAAUAUGCCCCGUCAUUCUUCUACAAAACAUAGUAAUAUGGGAUCCUGGGCAACUAGUCCCGUUGUAUUUCUCGAAUUCCGGCAUCUUAAAUUUGUAAGGGAGCACCAAGUCCGGAACCAAGCUCAGAUCCUUUGCAUCUGUUCCAUAGCUUUCGAUGCUUUCUAUUGCCCUAAACUUCUCUUCUAUCCAUUUCCAUUUCUCCUCAAAUUGUUUUGGAAAUUCCUCCUUCGCCUUGUCCUUUUCAACCAUCUCGUCAAGAUCUGGGACCGCAAUAUUAUUCGGGCUAUCACCGGGAUUAAAGCCCGCUCCGGGUUGAAAAUUCAUUGGGAUUGAAGCAUCGCCUUGGAACUGCUGGGGUCUAACUGACACAGAGGGUCUCCGCGAAUGCAGCUCAGUCUGUACAUGUGGAGGCGUGAAACCUGGAGGAUAGAGUGGUUCACCAUUGUUUUCUUCUUCACUAACAAUCACAGGCCCUUUACCCUUAUCUACUCCCUUCAAUAAUUGCGUCAUCUUAGCCACCAGAUCAUUUUGAGACUCCUCCAUCUUUUGUACCAUGUCACGCUGAAUCUUUUCUAUUUGCUCUUUCAUUUGCGCCUGCAACUGGUCUUGCAUUUCUCUUUGAAGUCGCUCUAGCUUCUCUAACCUUUGGUCCAUAAUUUUUGUCUUUGCUCGGGUGCCGUAACUUUGUUGGUUUUCCAGGUUAACUGAAAUGAUUUUAUUCGAUUAGGUUUUUUUAAUGGUCAUUAAUGCAUAUGAUGUGAUGCAAUGCAUGAAAGAGAAUGCAAAGAAAAAGAGGCACUGAUUUUAAUUCAACUUCAUUAGAAAACUUUACUAGAUAAAGAGUUUCUUUACAUAAAAUAGACUACAUAUAUGGCUUUGCCCUCACACUCAAAGCCUUAACCUUUCUAAGAAGCCAAGCUAAUUCUCGGCCCCUGUCCGACUCUGACUCAUACUUCAAACUUAAUAGAUCAGCCUGAACCGCUAGAGUUUGCAGAUGAUCAGCCACUUCGCGCACCUGAGUCACCGCCUCUCCCAUAAUAUAAUCUCUUUCUCCAAUCUGCUCUUGAGACCGACGGAAUUGUCCUUGCCACUGCUCAUUGCUUUCUUCUAGAAGCUCUAUCCGGAUUUCACUAUUUUGCAAUGCAUUCUCUAGCCCUCCUAUCUGUGUUUUUAAUUCUUCAAUUUUGUCUAAGCUCGCCCUUAAUUCAACCGUAGUAUUACGAUUACAGUACUGGCGAAGCGAUCUUUCCAGUUCUGUUAUCCGGACCUUCAACUCCGUCUUCUCGUCUUGGCAAACUAGUAGACUCUUUCCUAAGGCGGCUUCUCGAGCCCGAGCAUCCUGAAAUUUCUUUUCCCAUUGAUUAGCUUUCGUCUUUUCCUCCUGAAUUUCUUGUCGCCAUUGUUCUGGUGUUUUACCCAAGCCAGCGGCUCUUACUGACUUACGCAACUUCUUGUAAUCUGUCUUCAGGCUGUCCAAAUCUUCUUCUGCCUUGUUCUUUCCUUUCCUCAAUUUGUUGGCCUCUAAUCUUUGAAUAUCCACAUCCAGUCCUAACUGCAUUUUUUCUUCCUCAAGUUGUUCUAUCUUCUUCCCCAAUUCUAAACUUCUUUUUUCGAAUUCUUGUUUGAUGAUUUCUAUCUCAGAAGGCAAGACUUGUAAGUGUUCCUCUAAAGAUCGAGCCGUUUCUGAAUUUGACGCCGGGAUGUUGUCGUUGAUCCUUUGAUUACGCCACUGACCAUACUCGGGGGUAAUUGUCGGACCCACAGCUAAGAUCUUCAUUCGACGAGUCUGGUUCCAGGCACUAGAUAUUUCUCGAACCUUCUUCUUGUAAUUGUUCUCCCUAUAGGAAAAAUCACUAUAAGCCAACCCCUGGGUUGCUGGUAUGAAUUGUCGUGAUCUAUACUGUCUUGACACGAGUAGAGGAGCAUAUCCAAUAGCCCCCCAUAUCCCGAGCAACGGAACCCAGUCAAAAUCUCCACAUCGGUACAAUAUCUCAUCAGGAAUUAACCAAGGAGCCCUCCAUUCAAUAUCUUCAUCUUGGAGAUUCUGGAGUAUCUCUAUCCAUUUUUCUUCUGAAAUAUCAUCCCGUCUUGGUGUGGCCACCAAUUCUCCUAGAGGGGAGUAGCUAUCGGAGAAUACCCGGUAAGAGACCUUUUCGACUUUCCAGAAGUGGCUAUGGAACCAUGCCAAUAAGAGCUGCGCGCAUCCAAUAAACCUUCCCUCCCCUGCUUUUCGACACGCAUUCAAAGAUCUAAAAGUUUCAGCGAGUAUUGCCGGAACCGGUGUAACCCCUUUACCAAGCCGAUCGAACAAAUCAGAUACAGCCUCGUCUAUGUGUCCUAAAGCUUUGGGGAAAACCACUAGUCCAUAGAUACCCAAAGCGAAGACAUCGACCCUUUUCUUUAAGUCAGGAUGUACAAGCACCAAAUCUCGCAAACUUUUCCAAGGAACACAUUUACUGUCGCCCUUCUGUUGGAUCCGGGCAGCGACCCACUGCUCGCUCAUUCCAGUGAUGUUCAUUAAUUUCUUUAACAACGGAGGGACACAAGCAGCUCUGGAAUAAGCCUUGUCGACUUGAAUCUUUGGGCACCGAAGUAAGGUCGUAUACUCCUCUACCGUAGGCGUCAAAUCUACCUUCCCAAAAGUGAAACAACUGUAGGCAGGAUUCCAAAACUGAGCAAGGGCUCGGAAUAAAUACUUGUCCACUUUGACACUAAGCAGAUAAGGUAGGUCACCAUAGUUACAAUAGAACAGCUCCUUGGCCUCGACAUCCCAUUGAUCCCAGACUUCUUUCAUUUCUCGAAGGUCAUUCUGGAUUACACUGAUACGGGUAAAAUCCCACAAUUCUGACACGUACCCUUCGGUAAGACUAUCGCCUUUCUCCCGUUGCGUAGUUUCAGCCCAUAUUCGCACAGCCGCAUUAUCCUCUACUUUAUCAACAAACCCCUUUUCCAUGAUAAGCUUUCUACCAAGAAACUGAACGUAAAUCAACACCUCUUUUAGAAUGAAGAUGCCAUGCAAUCACAAACAAAGUAAAUUAGCAUUAAACACAGAAUAAGAUUUAAAAUAAACGAUAAAUAAAUACAACAUUCAUUUAAGUAAGCACUAAAAAUUUAGAGUAACUCUACCUAGGUCGGUUCCUAUGGCUCAUUACAUGUGGUUUGGUUCUAAAGUAGGGUACCUGAACCAGCAAAUUCCUCGAUCCUCACCCAUUAUAGGCUCAUACGGACCAAGUUCGAUUCAGGGGGAUACAUUUCCCUAUGGCCAUGCGGAGAUGAAAAUCUCACGAAGACAUAGGUACAGAUAUAUCCCGAAAGCGAUUCACUAUCCCAUGCGGAGGUGAAAACCUCACGAAGGCGUAGCUUCUCACUCCCACUUAAAAGGUGUGACCAACGGUCAUGCAAUGCAAUGCGCAGAGGUAUAAAAUAAAAUACAGAACACGACCAAAAUAUAACUCAAAACAAAAGAGAUGCAGUGAGAGGAUCGUAAAUUUCAAUCGAAUUUUCAACUUUCGACAAAAAGACAAGAAAUAAUCAACACGUGGCUUGACUCUCUUAUGGUUUCCCCAGUGGAGUCGCCAAGCUGUUGACGCCAUUUUUUGGAUGAAAACGGGGUCGACUUGGGUUUUGAAAAAUGAAAACGAAAGUGGGAGUCGCCACCAAUCUUUUUUGAUGAGGUGUGAUUGGGUCACCUUUAAAAGCGGUUGUUUUUAAUAAAUAAUUUAAUUUUAUUAAAACAACGAGUUUGGUCUACAAAAAUUCAGAAAACGGGUUCGGGAGUCGGUUACGUACGAGGAAGGAUUAGUAUCCUCGAAACGCCCAAAAUUGGUACCUAGUUGAUUAGUUAAUGUCUUAAUGUCGAAAAUUGAAAACUUUGAAGAAUUUUAAAAAUACGAUCAUUGUAUUAAAACGUUGAAAAUUUUUAAGAAACAAGGGGAUAUUUCACAUUAUUCGAGAAAGAGAAUCAUAUCCAGUAAGUUAGGACACAAUGUCUCGAAUUCCCGAUACGCGAAUAAAAAAUGCUUAUUUAAAAGAUAUUUAAUUAUCUUGGAUUUAAAAAGGAAUCACGACCAGUAAGUUAGGACACGAUCUUUUUUAAUUCCCGAUAUUGUUUAAAACUUGAGUUUAAAAAGAUUCGUGUAAUAAAGUUUAAAAGAAUAUUCAAUUGUUUAAAUCAAAUGAAGAAAUCGCAACCCAAUACGUUAGGGCACAAUUUCUCAAAAUAUUAAACAUUGAAUAUUGCAUUUAUUUCGAAAAAUCCUUGUCUCGAAAAAACAACGUGUCACAUCUAAUGCGUUAGGACACAACGUAUUGAAUUCUCGAUAACGAACAUUUUAUUUAUGUUUUUUAUAAAAGACUAAUCUCAAUUAUUUAAAAUCAACGAAGAAAAUCGAAACCCAAUACGUUAGGGCUCGAUUCUCUUGAAGAUCCAAAAUACUGAAUAUUACUUAUGUUUUUAAAAUUUCUUUUUUGAAAUCUAAAAAAAAUGGGUGUAAUGAAAUGAUGAUGAUAAUGUAAGUAAAAUAAUCACGAGCAAAACAAAAUAUAAAUAAGUAAUGAGACUAAUAUAUAAAAAAUAUCAAACAGACAAACUUAAGCAAGAUAAAAUAACAAUAGCAGACAUAUACAUGAAGAAAUAAAUAAAGAUAUAUAUAUAUGAAUUACAAAACAUGAAAAUAUAAGUAUUUACAUAUAUAAAUAGAUUUAAAAAAUAUAAAAUAUAAACAUGUACAUUAUAAGAACGUAGGUAUGUACAUAAAUAUAAAAAAAAUUCUAAGAUAAAACAAUGUGCAUAUAUACAUAUUUAUACAGAUUAAAAAAACAUAUAUUAUAAAAACUUAUUCACAUAUAUAUAUUUGAAAUUGUAAAAAUAAUAAAUGUAUGUAUAAAUAUAUAUAAAACAUGGGAUGUACGUACGUAUGUAUACUAAAAUAAUUGCAUGUAUGUAUAUGCAUAUAACAUAAUUUAAAGUAAAAAGGUAUUUAAUAAUAUUAAUAAUAAUGCUAAAUAAUAAUUAUAAUAGUUUUAAUAAUAAUAUAUAAUAAUAAAAAAUAGCACAUAUUAAAAUAACGUACACAUAUAUACAUAAAGAUAAAUGAAAAUAAAAAUAAAACAAAAAUUAAUAGUUAAAAAAAUGAAAGGGAUUAAAUCAAAAUCAAAAAUAAAAUUAAGGGCUCAAAUUACAAAUAAGAAAAGUAAUUAAAACACGCUGCAAAAGAAUGAGGACCAAACAUGAAAUACUCCCACAUCACUGAAACGGUGCCGUUCUAGGGGAAUACUAGCGCAUGGUCUAGGGACCAAAUUGAAACAGAAGCAAAAUUAUGUGGCCAAAAUUAAAUUUAAACAAAAGGCAGCAUUGAAUGCACCGCAAGAUUAGAGGGACCAAAGGCACAAAUUACCCAUUAGGGCAAGAGUGCGCAGGUUUUCCCUCUUUCAAACGGCGCCGCUUUAAUCAACAUAAAAGCUAAAAAAUUUACAUUUUUCUGCAGUUUCAUUUUGCUGCAAAGAACACAAAAAAUAAAAUAAAGGGAAAAUCCCUUUUCUCUGCUAGGGUUCCAAGGCUAGGAACCCCACCGCCAUCACGCCUCCUCACUGCCCAAUGGCCGGAGCCAUGCGAGGGCGUCUCCCACCAGCGCGUUGGAGCGCGCUUAGAGACCAAGGCUCUGAAACAGGGAAACGAGGAUAAAACGGAAGGCCUCUGCCCCUUCCUUAACCCGCGUUCGGCUACGGCAAAGAGCCGAUGACGACGCCGAAUUUAGGGGCCGAUGCAGGUGAGUUUAGUCUUCCCAUUUUCCUUUUUCUUUUACGUUAUUAUAAGUUUUUGUUUAAGAAGAAUAAAAAUAAGACUUAUAAAAAUAGAAAUGAUAACGAUAAGUAAAAAAAAACUAAGCGGAAAUGGUGAUGCUCAACCUUUGGAACUCUCUUGUUUUUUUGCUUUUGAUUUCUCAAAUGUUUCUCCAAAAAAAAGGCCCUUACAAAACGUUCGGUCCCUGGCUUUAUGGCCAUUUUUACAUUAUUUUUAUCAUAUCUUUUUGGUUGCAGAUGUUUCCUUUCUGUCAUUGCAGGCGCAAGUGGCAUGGGAGCGGCAGAGCAGGUGGAGCAGGUGAGCAGCGAUGGGACGUGCGGCGGCCAGCAAGUGGACGACCCUAGGUGCGGCGCACCUAGGGUUAAGGUUUCCUACUUUUUUUGUCUGAUUAAUGUUUUGGGCUAUUUGGGCUGUGGGUUAGUUUGGGCUGUUAAUUUGGUUUUGUUUAGGGUCUGUUUUGGUUAGGGUAAUGGGCCCGGGCAUGAAAAUUGGGCUUGUACAGUUAUUAUUAUAUUUUUAUGGUCUACAAUUUCACGGAAAAUUUUUGUAAAAAUUUCGUUCGAAAAUUUCGACGUUUGGGCACUCAAUUUAGUCAAAAGGACUAAAUUGUAAAUAGUGCAAAAAUUGAGUUCUACAUCUUAGAGGUGUCUAAUUGUUAUGAAAUUUUAAAUUGGAGGUCUUUAUGUAGUAAUUAUACCAUUAGUUAGUUGAUGGACAAAAAUAUACAUAAGAAAUGGGUGAAAUAGAUUUUUUUUAAAUGGGGGCAUUUUAGUCAUUUGGUUAUUAAAUAGAAUUAAAUGGGAAAAAGAUGGCAAAAUAUGCUCAUCUUCUUCAUGGUGAAUGAAAUCAGCAAGGGGGAAACCAUAUUUAGGGUUUUUAAGCUUUCAAGCUCCGUAGUAAGUGAUUCCAAGCCCCGUUUUUAACGUUAUUUACGUUUUUGGAAUCCCGGUAACUUGGUUUAGCUUAUUCUACCAUUAAUUCGUGUUAGGAUUCAUAUUUGGAAAAAUACCCAUAGGUGAAAUGUGUUUAUUUUGCUGUUUUAUGGUGGAAUAUGAAGCUAGAGAUUAUGUUAAACAACUUUUGCUAAGCAAUUUUAAGCGAAAACGGGUAAAUAGACAUAAUCGGUGAAAAUAGUUAAUGUUCAAAAGUAUGUGUUAGAGUGGGAAUUUGAUGUUGCCAUAGAAGGGAAAAAUGUUCAGAAUGUCAUAAAACCUAAGAAUAAGUGAUGAAGUUUAAUUUCCGAGCUUGGGGACAAAAAUGUAAUUAUGCAAAAGUUUGGGGGCAAAAUUGUAAUUUUUCAAAAAGUUGAGUGGUGGAUUAUUUUAAUAAAUGUGGACUUUAAACGAGUUAAAUUUGCUAUUAUAGAUCAAGAAAGAUGUGAAGAGUAUAUCAAACGAGGAAAAGAAAAGAUAGUGGAGUAAAGUGCAAAAUUACGAUAUUUUGCACCGAGGUAAGUAAACACGUGACUUAAUGUAUUAUUUUGAUAUUAUUUGACAUGUGUUGAGAUUUAUUUGAAAUUAAAAUAAGUGUUUGGUAAGAUUCCAAAAAUGUUGUUAAAUCGGGAAAGGUGGUAAGGGUUGCAAAAUACGGUUUUUGGUUGAACACUCGGAAUAGGCCGGAGCAUAUUGCAUAUAAAGGGGUUGCUGUGUGCUGAUUCCCCUAUUCAUUGGUGGUUGCUAAGUGCUGAUUCCACCGUAUUUUAAAUGUGAAAGGAGGUUGCUAAGUGCUGAUUCCCCCGAGGGGUUGCUAAGUGCUGAUUCCCCUACCUAUUAGUGGUUGCUAAGUGCUGAUUCCACCGUAUUUUAAAUGUGAAAGGGGGUUGCUAAAUGCUGAUUCCCCCGAGGGGUUGCUAAGUGCUGAUUCCCCGACCCAUUUGGUGGUUGCUAAGUGCUGAUUCCACCGCAUCUGAAAUGUGAAGGGGGUUGCUAAGUGCUGAUUCCACCGCAUCUGAAAUGUGAAGGGGGUUGCUAAGUGCGGAUUCCCCCAAGGGGUUGCUGUUUGCUGAUUCCCCGAUUCAUUGGUGGUGCUAAGUGCGGAAUCCACCAACAACGAUUAACAUUCCGAGUGUUCAACGAGUAAAUUGAGAAGGUGAAUAUUCAUAUAUGUGAUGGACGAGUUUAUGGGAGGAAUAUCGGGUUUGAUACUUAAUCAACCCAUGUAUAAGAUGAGAGGAAAAAUAAAAAAAAUACAAAAGAAACAAUUUGAAUGCAAAACUGUUUUGAAUGGCAGCAGUUGGGCAACUUUGAAAAAUCACCAUAAAUGGUGAAAAAUUAAUUGGAGGUUGAAUAAAAUAUGAAAUUGAAGCUGAAUGAGUCUAUUUUCAUAUGAAAGAAGUGGGAAAAGCAAAGGAAUUAUAUAUUUGGGGAUAUUUAAAUUUUACUGAGACAGGGUUGGAUUGAAUUCGAAAUCCCCUGUUCCAAAUUUGGAAAAUCACCAAAAAUUCUAAAAAAAUAAUUAUGGCUUGAAAUUUAUAUGAAUGGAUUCCUUUUUGAGUCUAUUUUUAAUAUAAACAAACGAGAACAUUGUUUAAAACUUGUAUAGAGAGUUAUGUGAAUUUUUGUAAGGGGAGGUCAGGACUGUCGGGUAGUGAAAUAGGGGAAACUUUAAUGAAUAAACUGUACUAAUUGGCCCGACCAAAAAUUCUGAAAAUUUUAUGGUGGAAAGAUAUAUGAAUCUAGUUUCAGGGAAAAUUUACGGAAUUUGAUUUGGAGCCCUGUAUCUCCCGAUAAAAAUAAAUUAGUGACCAUGAUGCAGAAAUACUGCUUGCUGGAAUUUGACCAAAUAAUGAAAUUUGUUUGUGAUAAAAGUUAUAUUUUGGUGUAAUCAUGUGGGAAAUUUAUCCACUUGUCAUAUGUUUACUUACUAAGCUAUAUGCUUACUUGCUUUUAUUUUUCCCUUGAUUAUAGUGAUAUCCAUCAACUUAGAAUUGGGACGGAGUCGGACAAUCAUCCACACUAUCAUCCGCGUUUGGGUAUUUUGCUACUAGUAUUCCGGAAAUUAUGGCAUGUAUAGACGACUUUAUGUAAUGUGGCGUUAGUGUAUAUAUAUGUUAUGGUUUGAUCUAAAAUGUGGCGUUUAUAAAUAGUUAAAUUGUGUAUCUUUAUACAACUGUUUUGGUUGGAAAUUUGAAUUGUGGUUGGAAAUUGCAGGGGGUUUAAGCAAAAACAAGCAGAAAUGCUGUCGAAAUUUAAAAAAAAAAUAGUAAUACCUCGUACUCUGUUCCGGUAAGGAAUACGAGUAAGGGGUGUUACAGUUUGUGUCCGCAAGAUAUGCAGGAUCACAAUCGAUCAUAUAACAGAACACUCAUAAAAAGCUACGGCAGUCCGAAACACAUGCAAGAUCACUACCGAUUAGGAUGCUCGCAGGAACCAUAAAACGAGAAGCUCGAGAGGGCUUAUAACGAGAUGCUCGUAAGAGCUGUGGUGUGUCCGUAACACAUGAUGGACCACAACCAAUCGGGAAAUCCUGUAUAUGUAAUCAAUUUCAUGUAUAUGACAUUUAUACAAUUCACAUACACAACAUUUGAUUCAAACAUAUAAAUAUGCAUAAUUUAGUUACACGAACUUACCUCGACAAAUGUUCGUGUACGUAAAAUCUACUAAUCCAACAUUUUCUCUUUUCCUCGUUCUAACUCCAAAUUUGGUCUAUCCGAAUCUAUAUGAAUGAAUUUAACAUUAAUUUAUAUUCAUUUCAAUUCAAUUUGCAUCUUAGGAAAAAUUACCAUUUUGCCCCUAAACUUUUAAUUAAUGACAAUUUCGUUCCUAGGCUCGGAAAAUGAAAUUCAUGAAAUAUAAUCCUUAUUCCAAGCCUAGCCAAUUUUUACAAUUUACAUCCCAUGUAUUUCAUAAAAUUUAUAAUUUUCCAUAAAUUUUACAUCUUUUCAAUUUAGUCCCUAAAUCAUAAUUUCAUCAAAAUUCCCUUUACAAAAGUUGUUUAUCUAUCAACAACCUUUCAUUUUCUACCAUAAAACUUCAUAAUUCAUCUAUGUUCAUCCAUGGAAAAACCCUAGUACCUUGAUAAUUUUGCAAAAUCAUCCCCGAGAUAGCUAGAUUAAACUAUUACGAUCUCGAAAAUAUAAAAAUCAUUAAAAAUGGCCAAGAAUACUUACCUAAUCAAGCAAAAUAAGUUGGCUUGAGCUUAGGUUUCCAUGGCUAGGGUUCCCAUGCUUUUAAUUUGGGAAAGAUGAUAUAAAUGAUGAUAUUUUUAUUUUUAUUUUAUCAUUUAUCAUCUUUUAUUAUUUCACUUUCCAAUUUCAUCCUUUUCUUUAUUUUAUUUUUCAUGAAUGAAUCAUCAUCCUUAACCACUAAGCAUUUUUAAUGGUAUAUUUUCCAUAUAAGGACCUUAAAUUUUGAAUUCCAUAGCUAUUUAAUCCUUUUAGCUAUUAGAACUCAACUUUUGCACUUUGUGCAAUUUGGUCCUUUAUCAAUUUAAGCAUGUAAUUGGUAAAAUUGCUUUACGAAAUUUUUAUACGACAUUAUUAUCAUACUAUAGACCAUAAAAUAAUAUAAAAAUAAUUUUUCUUCCGAAAUCAGAUUUGUAGUCGCAAAACCACUGUUCCGAUUUUACCGAAAACGAGCUAUUACAAUUCCUAUAUCAGAUCCAAUUACAAGUACUUCCCGGGCUUUUAACCCAAUAAUUUAUAAUUCGAUCCAACUAGAUAUUUGUUUUUGUUUUUCUAUUUCCCAAAACAAAAUUCACUAUAUUUCCAAUUAAAUAAUUUUCCCAACUCAAUUCUAAUUCUAUUAAAAUCAUGAUGACUUUACCAUAAAGGAAUUUAUGAGAAAAUAUAUUUAAUAUUUCUUCAUUCAACAGUUCACUAUGAACAAAUGAUUUAUUUUCAUUUUCGAACUUCAUUUAAUUCGAAAAAUAUAAAUUCAUUUUUCUGAUUAUUUUCAUUUUCAUUUUGGAAAAACCAUAUUCAUUUCCAAAUGAUUCCAUUUCUCUAUUUUCAUUUUCAUUUUCAUUUUCAUUUUCAUUUUUAUUUUGGAGAAAAUCAUAAUUAUUUCCAAAUGAUUUCUCAUUUCUCCAUUUUCACCAUUUCUAUUCAUUUUUAUUCAUUGAUUCAAAAUGCAAUUCAUUUUCAGUUUCAACAAGCUAGUAGAGGAACCGAUUGGACAUAUGCAAUUGAAGCUCAAUUGAUUUAUAAUUAAGUUUCAUCUUUUCGCCUAUUAAUUAUAAACUUAUUUAGCCACGAAGUCAUUCCACUAUAGUAUCUUGAUUGAGUUCUCUCCAACGUCAUACCAUUACGAAAGUAACUCGAUAAGUGCUCGUCAAAUGACAUUGUCAUAAGUUUGUUACCCUCAUAGGAUAUCUUUAAUCUAUUUGGGAUAAUAUUUCCUCUCCCAAUAUGAUCCUAUUUUAUCUCAUGGUAACCAUUACAUCUUCCUUAAUGAAAAUUCAAUUACUAUUAAAUAAUAAUAAAAUCAUUCAUCACAAAGACGAACGACCCGUGAUCACGUUUACUUUUCAUCAACCAUUUAAUGCUAAAGAGAGGAUAUCAUUUACCCAUGUCUUGAACUAUGAAUUUUUCUAUUGUGAAUGAUGCUACAUAUUGUAGAUGUCAUACACCCAAUGCAUUAACUUUCGGUUCCUUAUCUAUUCGAACUCAGAAUUUUACUUACAUCAAAGUUUACGAGUCAUGAAUACAUAGUACGCCAUCCACUCAGGAUUUAGGUAUUCCACACUAUAAACAUCACAAGUGAAUAAAUCCUUAAACAGAUCCAAGAUCUAUUCUUCUUGGGUUCAGACUGAUGUACUGUCAGUCCAGUUAGCCAUAUUUAUGUCUCUAUCUUUUGGGAGUCAUCCGCUCUAAUGCCCAAGACAAAACAUCUCUUCAAUUGGACUUGAUAGACGGACAUAUUAGACUUUCAAUCAGUUUGCUCAUUUUUUAUUAGUCUAAGGAUAUGUUUAGAUUUGUCUACUAAUAUAAUCUGUCUUUCUGUAUUACGAUCCAACCACAUAAUACCGCUUAAUAUUAGUUCAAACAUUAGACAACCAAUAAGCAACAUUUUCUUUUAUUUUGCUUUGCGUGCAAAAAACCACAUGAAGACAAUCAUACAAAGUGUAUAAAUGUACUCAAUGAAUUUGUUGUAUAUAAAUGUAUUCAAUGAAUUUGUUUUACUAACUAAUCUGUUUGAAAAUUUACAAGUUUAAAAACAAAUAUACUACGCUCAGGGUACCAAAUCCAACACCAUUUCAUAUAAGGAUUUAAUUUAAUAUCAAUCAUCAAGUUUAUGUUUUAUAAUCCCUAUUAACCAAACUCAAACUCAAGAUGAAUACAAAAACCAUCCAACCAAUAGACCAAUCUAGCACUUUUUUGCAUCAUCAAAAAGUUUGAAGUAAUCCACGCUUAAUGCUAUCAAAUCAUAUUGGCACAUGGUACAUCAUAAAAAAGACAGAAGUAAUCUGCACUUAGCACUAUCAUAUCAUACUGGCACAUAGUGCAUCACCAAAAUAUAACCAAAGUAUAAACCCAUACACAAUCUAAUCCUAUGACAUGUCAAUUAUAUUUGACUUUGCCUGAACAUUUAAUAGGGUAUCGAUGGUCCAAUUACAUUUUAUAAACCAAUUCACAUAUCAUGCUUUCAUAUCGUUUCACCAUCAAUUCACAUCACAUAUCAUUGAUCAAUUCAUAUCAUGCGUGUUUCUAAUAUAUAUGCAAUUCAAUCCAAUUCUCGACAUUCGAUAUCAUCAUGUAUAAAAUGAGUUAUAAAACAGUAAUAUGCUUACCUCAAUAGGUAGACUUGAAACAAUCACAUAUAUGUAUAUAUGCAUAUGUAUAUGUAUUUAUGUAUUGAACUCGAAUAAUAUAUACAAACUAAAUUUGUCACUCGUCUACGACUCUUGUCUUUCCUUUCUCUCACAACCGCCCGAUAUCAUCUUUAACUACGUUUAAUAUUGAAAUUAUAAAACAAUGUCAAUUCACAUCCUAAUCACAUUAAAAUCAUAGCAAACAUAUUUUACAUUUUAUUCAUUUUAGUCCUUAUAUCUGAAAUACUCGUAUUUUUCCAUAUCCAAUAUCAGAUCAAAAUCUGAUUUCACAUUAUUCCAUUAGGAACCUUAUACUUCCUUUCUAUAAUAAAAUUUCAUGAUAUUUUUUAAUUUAUUCAAUUUAGUCCCUAAUGUCACAAAGUCAUCUAACUAGUUUAAAUUAGGCUCUAAUUUAGUCAUUUUCACAAUAUAAGCUUAUUAACUAUUAGUUUAUUCAACUUAAGCUCAAAAUCAUCAAUUUCACUAUAAUUAAAACUUGCUAAAUAUAAACUAAUUGAACAAAUUAACAUAUGAGCUAGCUAGAUCAAGCUCCUAUGAUUCAAUUUUUAUAAAAAUUUCAAGAAAAUAACUUAAUUACUUUUGAAAAUUGGUGGUCGAAUGUUGCUUGUGCGUUUAAGGUUUUUCUUCUCUUUUGUUUUCUUUAAUGGUGUACAAUUUGGGGAUGAAAAUGACAUGUUCAUCUUUCCAUCCACUAAAGUUUGCUAUUUAUAAUUUUAACUAAUUAAUUUUAAUUAUAAACCAAGUUAAGUGGAAUCAUCAUCAUCUUCCACUAUUUUAUGAAUAAAAUUGGUUUAGUAGUCAUUUUUGUCAUUUGGUUAAUUAUUAUUUAGGUCCCCAAGUAUUUUCUCAAUUAAAAUUCAAUAGCGAAUGGACUUCUAGAGUUUAGUUCCUACGCUUUAAUUAACGAUUUUCUUGAUUAAAUUACUUAACCAAUCUUUAAUAUAUUUCAUAUUAUUUUCGUAAGUCUUCCUAUUUUACAUUUACGGACUCAAUUGACGGAAAUGUGGUUUCAAAACCGUCUUUUUUGACACAAUAUAAAAUUGAGUCGUUACAGUAACAUACUUAUGACAAGGUUAUUAGAUGAACACUGAUUGAGUAGCUUUCAUAAUGGUAUGUAAUUAGGGAGAUAUCAGUCAUGAUACUAUAAUGGAAUGACUUCGUGACUAAAUAAGUUUAAAAUUAAUAGGCGGAAAGUUCGAACUAAUUAUAUAUCAUUUGUGCCCUAAUUAUAUAUGUCCAAUUGGUUUCUCAGCUAGCUCGUUAAAAUUAGAAAUGAACUGCAUAAAGAAUUAAAUGAAAAAAAAUGAUGGAAAUGAUAAAGUUAGAUAAAUGAGUCAUGUUCAGAAAUGAAUGCGUUUUUUCAAUUAGUAGAAAAAUGACUUGAGGAUUAAUUUAAAAAUUUCAAAUUAUUAUUUAAUUAAAUAAUUGGAGUUCAAAAUGAAAUUAAGUUAAUUAGUCAUGGUGAAUCUGUUAAAUAUAGAAAUUAAAUAUAUUUUCUCAUAGAUUCUUUUACGGUAAAAUUGUUAUGAUUUUAAAAACAUUAGAGUUGGGUUGAGAAAAUUAUUUAAUUAGAAAAUUAUUUUAUUUUAUUAAAUUAAUUUAUAAUAAUAUUUAUUUUGAGAAAUAAAAAAACAUGUAAUUGGCCCCUAUACAGGAGAGACCCAAACUCCCCUCAUAUUACAUAUGAGAUAUUAGAGUUGCCUCCCCUUUCUUUUUGUUAAACUAAAAGAUUAGUUUUUCUAUUAAAUAAAUAUCAUAUGUAUUGUACUAAUUCAAUAAUGAUUCUCUUAUCUCUCACUAUAAGUAGAUGAUAUUGGUAGAAUUAUUUACACAAUAGUUAAUACAAGUUUUUAGUAUUGUUAUUCUACCAGAAAAAUAUUGAGAAUUUAUUUUCCGGGGUUAACAAUUUUGUCGGAUUUUAUUGAGAGAGUAUUGCUUUCCCAUUGCAAGUUAUAAAUCGUUCUUGUUUUGUGUCUAAUUCGCGAGUGUUCAAGAUCACACUCGAAGCAAUUUAUGGUACAAGAAUAGCGGAGAAGACCAUUUAGUUGAAAGUCAGGAACGUCUAGGAUCCGUCUCGCACAAAGCAUAAGUAAUUUUCGGGAAAAAAAUUAUUGCUAUAAAAUAUCACAAACCGGCUUGGUUUCAAAAUUUUAAUUUUUCGUUGUAAUAGAAAACCGUUUAACCUGAAUUUUUCCAACAAUAUUUUCUCCAAUUGUGAAGCAUUCCUCUAUUAGAAUUUUAUUAGCUUUAAUGGCAUAGUUGGACUUGGAACUAGUUUAGUUGGAUGUAAAAAAUUUUUUAUAUGGAGACUUGAAAGAGGAAAUGUACAUGACUCAGCUAGAAGGAUUCAAGAUUGCUGGAAAAGAAAAAUUAGUGUGUAAACUUGAAAAAUCGUUUGAAAGCUUAAAGUAAUCUCCGAGGUAGUGGUACAAAUGAGUUGACAAGUUUAUGACAAAACAAAAGUACACAAGAAGAAAAUAUGAUCAUUAUGUGUAUCUUCGCAAGCUCCAAGAUGGUUCUACCAUAUAUCUUCUUCUUUAUGUUGAUGAUAUGUUGAUAGCUUCCAAAAGUCAAAUAGAAAUUGAGAAGCUAAAGACACGAUUGGAACAUAAGUUUGAGAUCAAGGAUCUAGGAGAAGCAAAAAAAGAUUAUUGGCAUGGAGAUAACUCAAGAUAGAAGCUUGAAGAGGCUUUGUUUGACUCAGAAACAAUAUCUGAAAAAAUUGUUAAAGCGUUUUGGCAUGAAUGAAAAGUCAAAACCUAUUAGCACUCCUCUUGUUGCACAUUUUAAGCUUAAUGUCUCUAUGUCGCCAAAGAAUGACGCAGGACAAGAAUAAAUGUCAAAGAUACUUUAUGAAAAUGUUGUCGGUAGCUUAAUAUAUGCUAUGGUAUGUACAACACUUGACAUUUCACUAGCAAUUGGGGUCGUGAGCAGGUAUAUGCAUGAUUUAGGAAAGGAGUAUUGACAAGCUAUGAGACGAAUUUUGCAAUAUAUCCAAAAUAGAAUGGAUAUUGGACUAAUUUUUUGAGCAGGAAGAUAAUUAAGGUGUGAUUGGAUAUUCUGAUUUAGAUUAUGUUGGUGAUCUGGACAUAUUAAGUGUAUGGUUAAACAUUGACUUUUGACGAUGUAGGGUGUUUAUAAAUUGAACAAAGUAAACGAUUUUGAUUAGCAAAAGGCAAGACAAAAAGAGAUGUAAGGACCCCUUACAAAUGCUGAAUUCAUACUGUAGGAGUAGAUACUGUAAUAUUGUUGUCAUUAGGGUCAUCGUAUUCCUGUAUAGCUCAAAAUCAAAGUAAUAUCCACCUGACUCCUCCCUUGACCGGGCAACUGAUACACAUGCAUUACUUGCGGGAGUCAAAAGCAUCAACCUCCCCUUUCUCAUCGGCUGCUGAUAGAGCCCAUCCUCCAUAUUCCAGUAAGGACAUCUAUCCAGGCCCCUAUCCUAUCUAUGCUAUUGGGUUCAUCCAGGGCCCACUCGGCUUGUCUACUUUAGAUAAAACCUUAUUUCUUUUCCUCUUUCGGGCUCAAAGAGGAAAAAGCCCUAAUACCAUCUCACGUCCAACAACAACAAAAAAAAAAACCCUAGAAAAUGAGUAUAAAAUCGUCUGAAUGUUUUAGCCGCUCAUUGUCCUUGUGAAGGAAGAGAGAGAGAGGGAGGAAAAGAUGCAGAUAUUCGUGAAAACGCUAACCGGCAAGACCAUAACUCUCGAGGUCGAGAGCAGCGAUACCAUUGACAACGUCAAAGCCAAGAUCCAAGACAAAGAAGGUCUGUUUUCCUUCUACAAUUUUGCAUUUCUCUGUAUUAUAACUUCUUAAAUUUGAUUUAAACUGAUUUUCUUUUAUGAACUAACAAACACAGGAAUUCCACCGGACCAACAACGUCUCAUCUUCGCCGGAAAACAGCUCGAAGAUGGCCGUACCUUGGCUGACUACAACAUCCAGAAAGGUUUCUCUAUUGAGUAUUAGAAGAUGUUUUCUACAUUUUUAUUUUAUUAAUAUACUUAAAAGACUCUGGCUCUUAAAUUUUUUUCGACGUAGAAUCAACACUUCAUCUUGUUCUGAGGUUGAGAGGUGGAAUUAUUGAGCCUUCUUUGAUGGCUUUGGCUCGCAAAUACAACCAAGACAAGAUGAUUUGCCGCAAGUAAGCUACUUUUCGUUGUUUUAUUUUGUGGGCAUCUUUUAGUAUUCUGCUAAAGCCUAAGGGGGGCCUGACUUAGCCUCUACUGUUGAUGUGAAAUGGGAUAGAGGUCAUACGAGGUCCUAAUAGUGAUUGUAACCAUUUUUGUACUUUUUCAUGGCAGUUGAUUUUCAAGAAUGGCAGAAUCUUCAGAAUGCGAUAAAUUAAUCUCAAUUUACUAUUUUGUAGUACCAUAAAUGGGACUACAAGUUGAACCCUCUUUUGAGCUAAAGAAUGAAAAGGAGGGCAUCUUAGUUCCCAAAAUUCAAAUUUCCAUUCUCAACUUUGUCAACUGGUCUAAACUAAACUUGGCAGUUGAUUUUCUAGUGUGGUACAUGAUAAUCAGUGCUCUGUUUCGUGCUUAUGUAGCUUGAGAAAUCCCAAGAUCGAUUUCUUCUGAGUAAUGAGAAUUUUUAAGAUCAAAGUGAAGGAGCUAAUUAGUAGUCUGCCCAUUGCAUGUUAUCUUAAAAGACGCAUGUGCAUGGAAGUUAUUUGAUACUUGAGAAUGUGCGUUUCUAGGUG